CCCUAUGGAAGUAUACAAUUUCACCAAAGUUAAAACAUUUGAAAUUUUUUACUUAAUUCACUGUUCAUUAUAUUGUCAUGUAUAUAUAUACUUAGAGGCAGAUCUAAAAUUUUAUAGGAUAGAUGCAUUAUGAUUAAAAAAAAAAAGAAAAGAAAGUGGAUCUGAAAUUUAUAUUCAAACAAAUUUAGUAUUUAGGUUCUUACGAUUAGCUCAUUUCAUUUUAAAUUAUAGGAGUAAAAUUAAGAUUAAAUUCUUCAUACCAUUUAAAUAACUUCAAGAUAGGGACAGUUUCUUAAUGUUAAUGAUAAAUUCGAUGACGAUAUAAUAUUUUUGAAAUCAAUUAUGCUUAAGGAAGCACCAAUUGUGUCUAGAAUUCUUCUCAAUUUUUUUGUGAAGUUCGAGAAGACACCAGAACUUUUGUAAAAAAGUUUGAGAUGAGUUUCAAUUAGAUUCAAAUUUAUAAUAAAAAUAACUACAAUCAUAUUUCACUAAAUUUCAUAAUGUUAAAAAGUUAUUACUUUAUAAUAUUAAUGAAAUUAUAUAUUUAUAUAAGAAUCUUCCAAAAAUAUAUUAUCCUUUUAUCUUAUAGAAAUCAGUAUUUUCUCAUUAACCUAAGCCAAGAUUGAAAUCUAGAAGCUCACAUUUCAUGUCACGUGCAUUAUUAGUUUGACUAAUUGUGGUCUUACUAUUUGUACUUACGAACAAAGCACGUGCCCUAAGUCAAUUUAAUUCGAAUUAAUAAUAUUCUAGACGAAUAAAAAAUUCAAAAAAGAAAAUCACAUACAAUAUAAGAAUCAUUAUAAAACUUCUAGAACUUGAAGAACAUUUCCCCUCAAAUUUAUUCCAUUUCAAGUUUGGUGUGUUAAUAUGGCCUUGUAAUAAAGAUUCUAUUAGUCGGAUCAAGGUCAACAAUUCAAAUUUAAUAAUAAAAUUCCUAUGAUAGGAUAAUAUUCUUUUCAUAUCGACUAAUAGAAUUUUAAACAUUUCAUUCAUGUAAUACAAUAUAUCUAUGUAUAUGUUACUUCAACAAAAAAUUUCAUGUAUACGUCCAUGAAUAACACGUUUUUGUGUAAGACAUGAGCAUGAUAAGUGUAAUUAGUUAAAAGUAAAAGGAUAUUUUUAAGAUUGUCAAUAGUUCGAGGAUAGACUAUAACAUAAAUAAUUUUUUGCGAUAACAAAUAUACACAUUAAUAAAUAGUGCUAAAUUCUUUAUUGGUAUUAGUUAAUUGUUAUUGGACUCAAUGUCGCUAAAGAUUUUUGAGACAUAUAUAAAGAGUGAUAUGCCGGUAAAAAUACAUAUUUAGUGACAAUUAUGCUAUCACUGUUAAUUAAUUGCCGCUAAAGAUUAUUUUUGAUGUACUUGUUAAGAUCUUCAACAAGAAGCAUGGGCAGCCAUUGAUGAAGCUGCAAACUUCCCCAGACGAGACUGAGGAUAAAAGCUACAAUGCAAGGCUUUGAGAUUGAAUUGUGAAAAGUUUGAUUACCUUCAUUCAUCACUCAUGAGGUGUAUAUAUACAUGUGAUUAGAUGGAUCAAACUAGUGGAAAGAAAAUAACUAACUAACUAACUAGUUUGUUAUGUAACUAACUAUUACAAUACUAACUAUAAAAUGGAAAUACAACUAACUAACCAACUUGGAAGGAAUAAGUAAUGUACAUGAAUUAAUUAUGAAUGUUAAUACCCCUCCUCAAGUUGGAGGUGAAGAUUUCACAGCCAACUUGUGUAAGAUGGCUGAAUGUUUGAUGCCAGUGAGGGUCUUGGUAAGGAUGUCUGCAAGCUGAUUGGAAGUAGACACAUGAUGCAAAGAAAUCAACCCCUCCUGAAGUUUAUCACGCACGAAGUGACAAUCCACCUCAAUGUGUUUAGUUCUCUCAUGAAACACAGGAUUACGAGCAAUAUGGAUGGCAGAUUGACUAUCACAAUGAACACUAAUAGGAGAGGAAAUAGAGACAAUUAACUCAGUAAGUAAUCUAUGAAUCCAAGUUAGUUCUCCUACAACUUUUCUGAGUGAUCUAUACUCUGCUUCUGCUGAUGACAAGGAGACUGUCUCUUGUUUCUUAGACUUCCAGCUGAUAGGGCUGUUCCCAAGUAGCACUAAAUAGCCACUGACUGAUCUCCUUGAAUCUGGACAUGAUGCCCAAUCUGAAUCACAAAAGGCUUGGACUGUGCAGUCAGGAUCAUUAGACAACUGAACUCCUAAGGUAGUGUCCUGUUUGAGAUAUCUAAGCAGAUGAUAAGCUGCUUGUAAAUGUGGAGCUCGUGGAUCCUGCAUGAAUUGGCUUAAGUGUUGAACACUAAAAGCUAUGUCCAAUCUUGUAUUAGUUAAGAAGUUCAGCUUGCCUAUCAACUUUCUAUAGAAAGUAGGAUCAGACAAAGGGGUUCCUUCCUUGGCUUUCAAUUUAAUAGUAGGGUCUAAAGGAGAGGACAAAGGUGUAUAAUUGAAACAAUCAUACUCUUUGAGCAAGUCUAAAGUAAACUUCCUUUGAGAAAUAAGUACCCCAUCUGCUGUAUCAAGAAUCUCCAAGCCUAGAAAAUAGUGAAGUCUUCCAAGAUCUUUGAUUUUAAAGGUGUUAUCCAGAUAUGCCUUCAGAUGUGCAAUCUCAGUUGUGUCUGUGCCUGUUAAAAUAACAUCAUCCACAUACACUGCAACAAACACAGCCAAUAGACCUUCCUUUUUGUAGAAUAAGGAGUGAUCAAAUUGUGAAUAUGAGUAACCUCUGGAUGACAAUGCUUCAGUUAGCUUAGAGUACCACUGCCUACUUGCUUGUUUAAGACCAUAAAGAGACUUCUUCAAUUUACAAACCAACCCUGAAUUAAGUACUUCAAGUCCUGGAGGUAAUUGCAUAUAAACUUCUUCAUGAAGAUCUCCAUGAAGGAAUGCAUUGUUUACAUCAAGUUGAAACAUGCUCCAACCUUUCUUCACUGCACAUGCUAUCAAAGUUCUCACUGUGGUCAUCUUAACCACAGGUGAAUAAGUCUCAGUGUAGUCAAUUCCAGCCUGCUGUGUAUACCCUUUCACAACUAGUCGUGCCUUGAAUCUUUCUAUGCUUCCAUCUGCUUUGUGUUUUACCUUAUACACCCAUCUACAUCCAACUGCUUGCUUGUUUGGAGGUAAUGCAACAAGGUCCCAAGUAUCAUUAGCAUACAAUGCUUCAAAUUCUUGUGUCAUGGCCUUUUGCCAUGCAGGAUUUAGUGAUGCCUCCUCAUAUGAUGAUGACUCACUAUCAUGACAAAUAUUUUCAACAAGUGACUGACUAUUAGAUGCAAUGACUUCAGGAGAUAUAUGAUGGUGUUUGGUAAACAAUGCAGUAAGUGAUAAGUUGUUAUUGAUAGUUGUGUUGGAUGUAUUAGAACUGAGUGAUUUCAAUUUUGGGAUAUUAAAAACAUAGUCUUUCAAAUGUGAUGGUAUUUUGUUUUCCCUGUGUGAUCUUCUCUGUACUAUUGUGGAAGUAUUGUAUUGAGAAGAUGUUGAAGAAGUAAUAGGAGUAGUGGAAGGUAUAUCAGGAUGUUGAGUAAUGUGAGUAGGUAAAUGAGAAGGAGUUGUAUCAGUCACAUUGUCAUAAUCACUUACACAAUUCUUAUAUGAAUCUGAAAUAGUAUAAUCAGGAGAUGAAAAAGACCUCAAAACAGAAGGAAAAGAAGAACUUUCAGUUGACAAAGUAAAAGGAAAGACAUGUUCAUGGAAAAUUACAUCCCUGGAGAUAUGUAACUUCUUUGUAGCUAGAUUCAUUACCUUAUAGCCUUUAGUUCCAAAAAAAUAUCCUAAGAAAACAUGUGGAGUAGUCCUUGGCUCAAACUUAUCUCUAAGUACCUUUGGCACAGUGGGGUAACAAAGACAACCAAAAGAUCUAAGCUGGCUGUAGUUUGGUUUCUUAUUGUAUAAUACCUCAUAUGGACACUUAUUUCUCAAAUAACUCGAUGGUAGUCUGUUAAUGAUAUGUGUAGCUGUUAGAACACACUCUCCCCAGUAUCUUAUAGGUAGUUUAGAUUGAAACAAAAGAGCUCUAGCUGUUUCCAACAAAUACUUAUGUUUUCUUUCCACUAUACUAUUUUGUUGAGGUGUAUAUGGACAAGUUUUCUGAUGAACUAUUCCUUUGGAUAAAAGAAAACGAUGUGUUUCAUUAUUAUUAAAUUCUAGCCCAUUAUCUGUUCUAAUGUUUUUGAGAGUGGUAUUAAACUGAUUCUCUAUCAUGACUAUAAAUUUUUUCAAAACUUGUAGAGCAUUGCUUUUAGUACUUAAGAGGUGUGUCCAAGUUGAUCUGCUAUAAUCAUCUACCAAAGUAAUGAAAUACUUGUAGUUGUCAUAAGUGGAUAUAUGAUAAGGUCCCCAUAAAUCAAUAUGUAGCAGUUCAAAAAUGGAUUUGGUUUGGCUUGUGCUAUGACUGAAAGGUAGCCUUUGUUGUCUUGACAUUGGACAAAUAUUGCAGCAGAAAGGUUGUUUGGAAGAAAAACUAACUGGUAAUCCAAUGAUACUUUUCAUCUUAACAAAAGGUACAUGGCCAAGUCUAUUGUGCCACAACAAGUCUACAUUGUCUCCAGAGUUGUGAUCAGCCAUAACAUGACUAAAAGAAGAUUUACACUUAAAAGGAACAGAAUUAGAAGCUAACACUUUGUAUUGAUCAUGAGAAAAUGAAUUAGCAGGAAAAGAAUUACAUGUUUCACCUCUAAUGGAACUAGAAAAAGGACUGUUAUUUGGAAAACAACAACAUAUUUGACAUGUAUUGACUCUUUCAGAGGUCUUCAAGCAUUUUGUGCAUAAGAAGUAAAGCCCAUCUCUACAACUACCAAGAACCCGUGGCCUCUUCACUAAAGGGGCCUGCAAUAGACACAAUGCAUUAGUGAACAUGACUAUGCAUUUCAUUGUAUUAGUUAGUGAAUGGACUGAAACUAGAUUAUACUUAAAAGAAGGCACAUAUAAGACUUGAUGUAAAGUAAUAUUGGAUGUGACUGGUACAUCUCCAAACUCUGUUACUUUGACUUUGUAUCCAUUUGGAAGAGAAACUAGUAUAGGAAUAGGCAAAGUUUUGAUAUUGAUUAGAGAAUUCUUACUAAAGGUUAUGUGGUUUGAUGCUCCUGAGUCAAUGAUCCACAAAUUAGCACUUGACUCAAAACAUUUGCAUGAUAGAUUGUCAAAAACAGUAGAGGAAGAGCAAACUACAAUACCUGCAAAGUUCAUUGAUCCAUCAGCCAUACCAUUAUUGACAGCAGUAUCUUCUCCCACAUUCUCAUUUUUGAAAUUUUGCAGUAGAUUCAUGAUCUGUCCAUAUUGUUCCUUCGUAAAGUUAACAUUCUUUAACACAUCACCUUGAGAUUGUGAUUGUUCUUCUCAUUUGCAGAUGCCACAUCACCUACAGAACCAUGUACAUUUGCUACCACUCUCCUUCCUUUGUAACUUGAGCCUUGUUGUCUAAAAUUCUGGCCACCAUUGUAAUUUCCUGAUCUAUUAUUUUGGUUGUUAUUGUUUUGGGGAUACCCAUGCAACUUGUAACACUUAUCCUUGAUGUGUCCAGCUCUUUUACAAUAGUCACACACUAUGACAUUCCUGUUGGUGUUGUUACUUUGAUAGUGAUUUCCUCCUAAACUACUGUUAGUAUCACCAUAUUUUCCAUAGCUAUUUCCAUAGUUGUUUCCUUGAAAAUUUGUUCUAAAAGAUCUUCCUCCAUGCCCUUUGUUAUCAACAGCUUUAACAUUCAAAGACACAGAAUCUGUAGACAUUCUACCAACAGGCUUGAAUUCUCUUUGUUUUUCCUCUUGGAUUAGCAGUGAGAAAGCCUGUCCCAUAGAAGGAAGAGGAUUCAUCAUGAGAAUGUUUCCUCUUAUCACUGUGUACACUUCAUUUAACCCCAUAAGAAAAUGAAUCAGGCGUCUAUCUUGUUUAGCCUUGAAUAUACUAUCCUUUGCACCACACACACAGACACAACUGCAGUGAUUCUUCACAUUCAAAGUAUUCAAUUCUUUCCAUAACUUCUUCAUUCUUGUGUAAUAUACAGUAAUGUCCAAAACUCCUUGUGUGAGAUCAUUGAUCUCCUUUUGAAUUUGAUACAAUUUUGCUCCAUUGGUUUGAUCAUACCUGUCUUCCAACUCCUUCCACAACUCAGCAGAAUUGUUUACAUACUCUACACUGUCUGAAACUUCUUUGAUUAAGGAGUUCAGGAUCCAAGAUGUCACCAUAUCAUCACACCUCUGCCAUUGACGUAACAGGGGUGUAUUGGUGCUUGGUUUCUCACAACUUCCAUCAAUGAAACCUAACUUGUUUUUCACUGACAAUGCCCUCAUAACACCUCUUCUCCAAGUCCUAUAUCCUGUUCCAUCAAACUGAACAAGAACAAGUAUCAUUCCUGGAUUAUCUGAAGGAUGCACAUACAGAACACCAUUGGCAUCACUUUCAGAUAUUACAGAUCCCUCAGAUGCAGAUGUGGAUGUAGUUUCGAUGGCCAUUACAACUAUGACUAUUAUGAACUUUCAGAAGAGAAAAGGAAACAGAAGAUGUAUGAAAACCAGUAACUUCCAACUUUGCUAUCGAUUGAUAAUCAAUCAAAACGAGUAAUCAAAAGAAGAGAAAAAAGCAGUUAAUCGUGUGCUCUGAUACCAUGUUAAGAUCUUCAACAAGAAGCAUGGGCAGCCAUUGAUGAAGCUGCAAACUUCCCCAGACGAGACUGAGGAUAAAAGCUACAAUGCAAGGCUUUGAGAUUGAAUUGUGAAAAGUUUGAUUACCUUCAUUCAUCACUCAUGAGGUGUAUAUAUACAUGUGAUUAGAUGGAUCAAACUAGUGGAAAGAAAAUAACUAACUAACUAACUAGUUUGUUAUGUAACUAACUAUUACAAUACUAACUAUAAAAUGGAAAUACAACUAACAAACCAACUUGGAAGGAAUAAGUAAUGUACAUGAAUUAAUUAUGAGUGUUAAUACUGAAAACUAAUAAUUCACGCCAUGUCAAGAGUGUUUUCACUACUUCUCUCUAAUUUUUUAUAAGUAAAUUGAAUAACAAUAAUAGAUUCAGUAUAAUCCUAUAAUUGAUAUUUGAAUUGUCGACUAUAUGUACAUCUUGUGGAGUAAAAAUGAAAUACAUGGCUCAAAAAUUUAAAAAGUUAAUAUAAUAAUAUUGAAAUGGUAUUACGUUGAAUUUGAUAAAUUGAUACAUAUAAAAUAUUAAAAUGGUGUUUGUUUCAAUUCCUGAAAUUUGAAGAACACACCAUAAAGCAAAUUUAAUCAUAUUUGUAAACAGACGACAAUAGAAGGUUUGACGGUUUAGAGAUUUCAAAAUAUUCAAUUAUAAGCUAAUUAAAUUGUGAAAGAAGAAUGAGAAAGAUAAAUGCAUAACGCAGAUUCAUGUUAAUCGUCUGAAUAUAAAUAAGUAAUAAAAUGUGUAAAAAAAAAAAUACUAUAAUUACCAAAAACUAUUUCAAACCAUUACUUUAGUAGCAAAUUCGAUCUACUUUGCAAAAGCACGUACCCAAAGUUAAUUAAAUUCGAAUUCAUAAUAUUUCAAAAGAACGAAACUUUUCAAUUCUUUUUUUACAUAAAAUACAAGAAAUCAUUAUACAACUUCCAGAACUUCAAGAACAUUUCCCCUUAAGUUUAAUUAAUUCCUAUUUGGUGUAUUAGUAGGGCCAUAUAGAGAUUCUAUUAGUGGAGUCAACGUCAAUAACUUAUAUUUUAAGAAACAAAAGAUUCGUAGGAUAAUAUUCUUUUCAUAUCGACUAGUUCAAUAAACAAAAUCUUUUUUUUUUUUUACAAAUAAUAUUUCUUUUUAUUAUUCAGAACAAUAAACUAAAUGAUCUUAUAUAUACUGUUAGUCCUUAUAUUCUAUAGACAAAUUGCCAAUGAACACUAUUAGAAAAUAAGAAAAAAUAUAUGUUAAUCUCAUCCACUUAUGGAUUAACGAUGAAUAUUGUAAACGAGAGAGGGUACACUAAAAUUAUGUGGUACCUAAUUUGAAAAUGAUCCAGAAAAAGUGUUUUUUGAGCUCAAAUCUAUUUUAUUUUUGUUGAGUUGUUAUAUAAAUUUCGAAAUUUAUAGUCUAUAAUAAAAAGAAAAGCUCAUCAAUUAUGACUUUAAUUGUAAUUUCAUCAAAGGGAAACUUACAUAAAUAUACUAUAAUAAAAAAAUAUUUACCAUUUAUAGCAAUAAUAUUUUUUUUCACUUAAUCACUUUUAAUUCAUUUAUAAUACAAGUUUAAUACAUAUUACAAAGAACAAUUUAUUAUUCACAUAUAAUAAAAUUUUUAAUGAUGAAUAAUACAUUUAUCACACAUUUUAAUAUACUUAUAAUACAACGUGACAAUUUUUACCAAACAAACAUGAUAUAUUUCAAAAAACAAUUAUAAUUCAUAUAUAUUGCAUACAUAAUUCACUUUUAAUACAUAUUACAGAUUUAACAAAGCUUUGAUAUAAAUGGUAAUAAACAAAAAGUAUUGCUAAAAUGAGUAAUUAUUUUUUAAAUUGUAUUUAUUUAUGUAAUUUUUCCUUUAUAUUCAAACGACCUCUCAUUGAACCCGCUCUUAUUAAAGAAAUUGGUCGUAGAAUAUAAGAAAAUUGUAUCAGAAAAUUAGAAUAUCGUUAUUUUUUUUUUUUUUUUUUGCAUUGAUGAGUCUUCGUAAUUUAUUAUAAGUUAACAAACUGUAAUAAUUGUUAACUUUGUGUUAGUAAUGGUUAUGUGAAAAUAUUUUGGUUAAGGUAGCGAACAAGUACAGAACUAUUCCUAAUAACGAAUCAUGAGAAAGAGUUCCAACGUAGCAGUGUUACUUGCUUCCUCUGCACUCUCUAAACCUCACCAACUAUACUUUUCGAACCUCAUUGAAUAAACCUAAAAUCCUCAUCAUUUAUGAAAAUUAUUGACAAAUAGCUCAUUAAUAAGAUAAUCGAAAUAUCAAAAGACGCCACAUAUUGAAACAUUUUCAUAAACACACCUAACACUAAUCUUUUUUUUUCCAAAUGUUUCCACAACCACAUUUACAAUCCAAAAAGGCCCUUUGACAUUAUAUGAUGUUUGACUUGGCAUAACAGCUUUUUUGAAAAACGAAAAUCAUCGAAAAACUUUGUAGUCUAAAACAAUCCAUGAUUUACAGUGGCAUGUAAACCCCAUCGAUACCGAUCUAGGUAUUAUUUUCAAAACACAUAUUUUUCACACAGAUAACGCAAAGGUAGAGAUCAUUUUAAAAGGGGAAAAGAAAGCCAUUUUCCUUUUGCUAACCCCUAAAGAAGGAUGCAUUACAAAAUAAAACUACAGCGCUAAUGAAUGUGAUGAUGAGUAAAUAAGCAAUUAAUGGAACUUGACAUCUCUGAUCUCUUGGCAUCAAACCUAAAUUUUUGCUGAUCACAAUGAAUAAAUCAUGCGGAGAAACGUCAGAUAAAGAUACAAAAUGGGGGAAGAAAAUGAAACUCCGACAACGAGAAAAGCAAGCAGGCAAAUCGUGAUAGUACAGGCAGAGGAAUCAAGAUUUGCGAGUUUUUGCUCUUGUUGCUUGUUUCUCAGAAUAGAGAGUACUGCAAAAAGGAUUUCAACUUUGUCACAAUGAACGUCCAGACCGGAAUUGCUAUAAUUGAUGUGAGGCUCGGCUUGGCUCCUACCAGUAGAGUUGUCCGAUCAAAGUCUUCUAAGCCUUUAAAGCAGCUUUGUGCACCAUUGUUUCUUUGUGGAUCUGGUGGCAACUCUUUUCGACAAGGUCAAGCAGCUUCUCCAAAUUAGACGCCCAAGAAUUCAAGAUAUCAUUGCUGUCUUUUGGGGGUUGGAAACAGACAAUACCCAUAGGUCUGUCUAUUUUAGCAACCAAAGCUUUUGAUACAACCAUUUCAGAUAGGUGCUUCUCCGCUUCCUGAAAAAAAAAGAAAAAAGAAAAGAAGAUCAGAAAUCACCAGACAAAUGUAUGCUAUGAGAGGUAAAACAAUUAUGUGACAGUUGCAACAUCUAGACAAAUGGUGCUCAGUAAUGAUGAAGAGAAAAUAGAAUGCUGAUUAUGAUUUCAGUUCCAACAUUUGAAAGUUUGUGCACAGAAGGUAAAAAUUGGGAACAUCCAGCAACUCUCCACUGAGUUGUCUACAACAUUUUUUUCUUUUUCACACAGUUUACCUUCUUUACUAUUUUAGUGCAAAGGUAUAGCAAAUUUCCCGCCAUCAGCAAGAGCCAGACCAAGGAUCUUAACUAUAAUGAACCAGAUCUGAAUUGACAAAUCUAACAGCUAAUGUUUUUCACAAGCACAAAGUUAUAUUGCUGCAAGGCACAGAGAGACCCCAAGACUUACAGUGGCCCUCGGCCUUUGCACUAAGGUUUAGACCACAUUCACUUAAUCAUAGCAGGAACUCUCUAAAUACCACCAAAGAUGAAGUAAAACAUGUAGGUAUUGUACACAAUACUCUAAACAAAUUAGGAAAAGUAAUAAACUAAACAUGCACCUGAAUAUCGAGGCACAGUAAAACAGCCAGCCUCUUCAAGGUUAUUCUUGAGUAGUAUUUUGAGACGACAAGGAUGUUCUGCAAGGAAAAUAGUACUUAAAAGUUAAAGCACAAUUCAAGAGGAAAAUGGACGCCAUUAUGACAAAUCAUCAAACAGGAGAACUAAAAGUGAGCCCUUAGAUAUUACGUGCUCAAUAACUCUCAGUUUGAGGUCUUCAGCAGCCUUGUCCCCCAAAGUGCCACCAGGCAUAUUCUUCUCAUUUUCAAACUCAUCCUUGAAUGUGUUCCAUAAAGCAGUCCACUGAAUGACUUCCAUGGUAAUCAAUUGCUUCAGAAGCAGCCUGAAGCAAAAAAAAGGAAGAUACCAAAACAAUCAUUAUUCUGAAGUUGGUUCCCCUCUAGUGUAGAGGGUGGAGAAAAUUGUAAAUUUCUGAAAAAACAGUCGUUGGAUAAAAGAUAAGAAAUGUUUCCUUCUGAGCAUGCAAAAUUCCACAUUUAUAUUGAAAUAAACGAGACUAUAUAAGUUAGUCAGGUAGUAGAAUAAGGUUAUAUAUACACUCAUUACUUGAUAUUUCUGUUUAGAGUUUCAAUUUUCAAAAUGUUAGUUUAAGAAAAUAAGGACUUCAAAGAUCCAUUAAUCAUUGAAUAACUCUAAUCUCCUUCAGCCUUAACAUGCAAGACUCAUAUCAAAUACGCAAACAUUGCAACAAUGCAAAGCCCGAUGAACCAGACUAGAACUCUAAUACUCCAGCCAAUUAAUUGUGUGAUAGGAUUUGACUAGGGAGGAAGUGUAAGAUGGCUCAGUUGACAUUUCUACUAUAUUGGUCAUUAGUAAUCAAAGAAAUUACUAAGACAGUUUCUCAAAGCUAGUCUGUCACGGAUACAUUGGAUGAAUUUGUGAAGAUAGUAAAAAACUUAAGAUUCUUGAAAUUUCUGAAAGAUGCAGAACAAUAUUGUUGAUGGACAGGUGGCAAACAUCCUUGAUGUCCCAAAAUAGAAAUUGCUAUAUAAACUUCAACUUGUUCCAAAGGAAGUACAAAAUAUUCAUCAUCAAAUGACAUAUAACCACACACAGAAUGAAAUAAUUUCCAAGCAGAGUUUAUGUCAAUUGGCAAAAUUUUGAGAAAUCUUACCCCACAAACCCAAAUAUACAAAUGCAAAGAUAAUAACACCAUAAACAUAGUUAUUACUUUUUUCCUUUAUUUUACAAGUAGCAACAGUAAACAUAGUGCAAUAGAGUUUUUUGCACAAAACCUGAAAUGAGGAAUUUCUGAAAGAUUUUUGUCCUCCAAAGUUGAGUUAUGAAGACUUGAUUGCAUAGAAUCAUGGGGAGACAAUACCAAGUACCAGCAAAUUUUCCUCAGAACCUACAUGAAAUAACAGAGUUAAGCAAACUGGUCAAUCAAGCAUUAUCUGCAAUUAACCCUCUUCAAGAUUUGGAAUCUCAAAUACAAUGACGAGCUCCUCUAUCUACAUUUAUACACGUCUACAAAUCGAAAUGUAAUUAAAAAUAAAAAAAAUUAUGCUAGAUCCACUAAGAAAGGGCCUCCAAUAACAACUCAAGUUAACAAAACAGAAUACAUUGUAUCUUAUUUAUCAGUGACUUCAAGUUAUCAAAAUAGAAUACGUCCAUCCAUCCCACCCAUUUUUCUCCUAAUAAUAUAGACUUGGACUCUAAAACCUAUAAAAUAAUGUUACAUUUAUUAAAUCUUCUGGAGAACAGUAAAUGGUUUGUGGAAAGAGUUAUAGCCAGAGUAAUGACUCUUCCUCCCCAUUAGCUUUUAUGUUUCUCUCUUCGUAUUACCACACUUCCGCAUUUACACAUUCUUGUUUUCUUCUUAAUCUAAUUAUAGCCAAGCCUAUUGCCACAGUUCGAAAUUUGUUUUCCUUCUGCCCAAGAUGUUCAAUGAUCAACAUGGGUAGACUAAGAGCCUGUUUGGAUUGUGGCUUAUUAUAGGUUCUUUAAAGCCAAAAUAGUUUUUAAGCAGCUUUGAAGUGUCUAGGUAAAAUAAAAAAGUGCUUAUAAGCACAUGUUUUUAAACCAAAAUAUCAAAAAUAAGCUAAAAGCCAUAAGUAAAAAUUUCUAACUUAUGCCUUCAUGUCACAAGCCAAAAGGUAAUCCAAACAGGCUAAAUAAUAAAGCCCCCCCCCCCCCAACCCAACCCAAAUCUUUCUGACAGAUGAAAAGGAUGCCUACCCCCUUUUCUAGAAAACUGAAAAGAAUGCCGACCCUUAUCUUGUUAGAUGAAGAGAAGCCUGACUAGCUGCAUAAGAAUACAAGCCCAGCUCACAAUUAUCAUAUGAUACCAGGGAAAAACUAAUCCUAUAUCUUCUAUUCUUAAAUAAUUUGUUUCCCAAUAUAGGGAAGAAAGAGUGUCUCUUUAUGAAUUUGACAUAUCUGAUGGUUUUGUAUCACCUCUACUUGAUUUAGCAAUUAGAAUUUUCAGGUAGGUGUAAAUUAAUUUAAUUGUCACCUAAUCUUAAAGCUAUGCAGCAGUGACGUAUCUGUUACAACAGAUUAAUAAUUCCCAACCCAUUUACUUUUGUCAGAGUUCAUACCUUUUAUUGGUAAAUCAAUUUAGUUGUCACAUAUUUUGAAUUUUUAUUUUUUUUGAAGUGAAAUAUCAUUUAAGGCAUCCAGGCAAAUGAUAUUGUGCAGCAGAAUGAUUAUUGUUAUAUUUUUCUGAAAAGAAUUGCUCAUUAACCAACACUACAUUAUAUAGACUUACUACUUAAAAAAUUCAAAACUGAUUUUCCAUCGAAUAAUACCACGUGCAACGUCUCGAAAUUAUAAUUUAUGCAGAAUGUGAGUAAUUCAUGAAAGGGAUCUUACUGGUAUCCACUGUGCUGGGUCUUCUUUCACGGAAGGGAUCUCAUAUAUAGCCUUGUAACAGCGACAUAUUUCAAGGUAAUCAUUGCUAUGUGAGUAAUACCUGCAACAGAAGUAGAAAGAAUGACACACCAGUUUAAGAUACACAAAUGCAAAAAACGAUCUCCAAAUGAAAUCAUUCAUUCAUCUAGAGCUAUAUCACUCUAAAUAAGUAAGAAUCUCAUGCCUUAGGAUUGCUGACCUGCUAAAUCAACAAUUAAGAAAAUCAUGCAAGGUCACUCCAACCUAAAAAAUUUGGAGACAUGGCAAAAACUAUUCUAUGAUAAAUAAAAUAACUUUCAUUUACAUUUGAUAGGUGAUGCAACUUUGAAAGACCUUUACUACUUCAAAAGUCAGUAUCAGCUUAGGUGAAUUUAUAGGGUGUAGAUGAGCAUAACCAUGUCAUUUAAUUGUCAUGUAUUCUGAAUACAACUUCAAUCACUUCUUAUCAUCUUGAAAAGAAGUGCAAAGUAUAGCAGAACUACAAUUGUCUUCUAAAGUUUAGUCACCUGCUCCCAAUGAAAUUUAAAGAAUGGAAGUCCAUCCACAAAUAAACCAAAGCAAACAGAGCAAAUAUGGAACUAUCUCAAACAUGGAGCUCUGCAGAACUUACUUCAGUCUCUAUUUAUUCAAUGACAUCCAAGGUGUAUAAUCUCUUCCGGAAAAAAUAUGAAGUUUCUACUAAAAACAAACAUUUCUGACAAAGCACAGAUAACAUUCACUUUAAUCCUUUGGCACAGUUGAUAAGGGGAGGAAACUAGAAUCCUCAAAGACAACUAAAACAUAUAUAAAAUGAAGACAAUCAGAAUCUUUAUUCAGAAAACAUGUCUAACCCAAACUCAAAUGUAAGUAAGAUGUAGACAAACUGCCAGAAAAUGAGCAAAUAAGCAAAUUAUGUGCCUUAAAUACUAAUAUCUUCAGUCCCGAUACUGCACAAAUCACCAAAACUAAGUGCAGAAGUUGCAAGCUUUAAGUAUGAACACAUUAACUAUUCCAAGUUAUCUUAAGAAAAUAAAUUACGUUAUUUUAAAAUUAUACUCGGAUUGCAUGAAUCUGCUGAAUGCUUGAUAGUAAGAAGGGUGUUGCAUUCAACAAUUCUAGAGAAGGUAACUUGCUUAGCCACAUUUAUAACAUAAUCAGAUGUACCUAAUCAUUAAUUGAUAGUAGAUCUGCUUCAACUCUGGCAGUGACGGAAUAUCUGCAGCAGGUUCCUCAACCACAUUUUCACCCUCCUUUGCUUUCUUCUUUUCUUUAGAUGGAUCAGCUUCAAACACUCUGGGAUUGAUCUUUCUCGAGAGAAUUUGAGCACGAACAUAAUCUUUAUGAUCUAAGCAUAGACGAACCUGCAAUGUUCAGCACCACACAGUUGGUCCAAAAGCACGGUCUCGUUAAAAUUUUGGGUAUAAAGAGAAGGAAGAGUUUGCCCAUCAAAAAGGAUAAAAGAGAAGGAAGAGAAUCACAUACUUGUUCAAGAAUAAAGGCUAUCUUUUCAGUUUUUGCCAUCGCUCCAAAGGUUUCAACCUGUUAGUUAAGCCAUGGACACAUUACAUUGCAAGUGGGAAAAAACAUAAAGAGUAAGGACCAGAAUAUUGCAGUUAGACAUCAAUUGCACAAAGCAAAAAAGACCAAGAAGACACCAAAGUGAAGGUCAACAAACACUUACAGCAACUUCUUGCAUCAAAUCAGCAGCCUCGCCUAUGAGUUUUUGUUCUUCUUUAAUCUUUGCGAGCUUCUUAAUCAAGCGAGCUCUCUCAAUCUCAACGUAUAUCUGCAUUCCAGAUCAUAGUUGCUCAGUAGGAAAGAGAAUCAAAUUGCAGUGAUGUCUUUUCAUUAAAAUGAACAUGUCCUCACCUUUCCAGCAGACACACUGUUCAGUGUUUUGAUAAGUUCUAUCUUGGUGUCAAGAUCGGGCGUCUGGUCAAUGUAUUGCAUGGCCUGUUGGACCAUGGCCUGUACAGCCUGCAUAAGUACCAGGAAAAACACCAAGCAUAUUAUUAUAAAGUUUAAAGAGGAUAAAUGAAGCCAUAGUAUCAUGCAUCAGUGUCAUCGCAACUAGAGAAAGUGCUGAAAUGCCACAGGUAUAUUUUUCAUGAGAAUGGCUCAUGCCGUAUGCAUAUAUAUGGGGACAAGGAAGAGCAUAACUAAAAAGGCAUUUCAAUAUGGAAUGGACAGGACUCGGGGGACAGGACUCGGGAGCUUACAAAUACUCUAGUAUGCUUACCCGAUAUUCUCAAAACACAAGCACAUUGGUAGCCAAUUGCCCAAGCAUUUCACAUAUGAAGCCACAACAUGCAUGUUCCCAGGUAGAUGGUAAGUGAAAGCAAGUAAAGGCAAAAAAAUUCUAAUUAAGUAUGAAGCAAAUGCGAUCCAACUUCUUGAUCAUUUUUCAGUUCCCUAGCUUCAUCAUGCUAUGCAAUUCCAUGGUUCAAAUACUUCCUUGCAUCCUUGGGCAUUGCAUCUCCAAGUAAUUUCUAUUUUUUGUUCCUAUAAGUUCAAAGCAGAAGUAGUGCUUGGUAGAAUAGAAAUACCUGUCCCUAGGAAAACACAUCCAAGACCCGUGAUUACUUAUUCACUUAUACCCCAAAUCCAACAUUCUCCCAGAUAAAUUUUUGCAGCCAUAGGAAACCUGGCUUAAAAUUUCCACAAAUAUAAAGCUGCUAACCCACAACUUGGUUGCCAACAUAGGUUUUCUGUUUUUGUAUUUUGGUCGUAGUUGACAUUUUUCCUUGUACCUCACCCCUCCUUACCUCUAUUUGUUUGGAUUUGAUUCCUAGCAUUUCUUUAGGACCUCUUGACUAACAUCAUUAACCAAGAACUUGCCACUACAUUCAUCCUUUCCAAAUUCAUUCCCAACAGAGCUGGAAUGUGUCUUCAUCUUCUUUUUUGACAGGGUAAAAGCUCAAAUGUGUGUGUACCUAUCUUUAAUUUUAUUCAUGUCCUACUAAUCCGGUUUCAACCAUUUAUUUUCAUUCAACAAGCAUAAAUACGAAUAUUAGAUCUAGAGGUCGAGACACCAAUAUCGCCCUGAAAUAAUAAUCCUAAUAAACAUCUUCAUCAAAAAUCUGAAAAACGGCAUUGCAAACGAAGCAGUCUCUAAAGUAGUUCAUCAAUUAAACAGGCAAAAUCUUGGCACAACAUGGCAAUUGUAAACAACGACAUAUCCAGUGAAAUCCAAAUGAGGAUUUGAACUUGCAUAUUAAGUAUUAACCAUCCUGUAUGUAUUUCCCUUACCAGCAUUUCUUAUGCUGGAACACAAUAAUGGAAGACUCUCUUCAGUCUUUACUUCUUCUUUUUUAAUUAUUGAGACCCUUCAAAACAUGGGGGAAAUGGCCCCACCCUGCUUCUAUCGAUCCCCACCUAAAUACAAAGCUUGGUCCUCAUAGUGUAAGACUCACAAGUUCCUCAACCUUUUUUUUUAACUUAAGAGAGGCAAAAUUCAUCCAACACCCCUACCAAGUAGUACCCUUCUUUUAGCAGUGUUUAAGUGUAUGGGACGAGAGUUAGUUUUCCCGUAUCACUUAAAAAAGUAAAAAACAAACAGGAUAACUUUCCAUUUUUUCUAUGAAGACCACAGCCUAUCCAAACUCCUGCUUUAAUCAUGGAAGCAUUCACAGGUAGUCUCACAUAUCUUUUUAAUCAAGUAACCUAAAAUACUAAGCACUACUCUGUGUUUUUGCUUUUCCGAAGUCCAAACAAAGUAAAGAAUCUCUCUUCCAUUCCUUUUGUACCAAGCAAAGAAUAGAGAUGAGCCUAUCCACUCACCUAGACCUAGAGAAAAACAUUAACCCAACACCCUCACCUACUUCCUCAAGUUACAAGUCUGCUAAGCUAAAACUGAUGAAGUUUUGAAUUACACACUAAGGAAUCAGCACGUCUACCUGCUCUUUCCAUUGAAUUUACAGCAACACUACAAGAGUGAAAAAAAUAAAAAGAACAGUCUGAAAGUAAGUCCAGUACAUUGCCCUCUAAGUUCAAAACAUGCCUUCUAUCAGCAUAUCACAGGUGGGUUCUUCAUCAAAUCAAUUUUGCUAAUGUGAUGGUCAAGAUCAAAUUAGCUUAUUCACUCAGUAAAGUAUAACUAUAUGAAACUCAAUAGGUCAAAUCAAAACUUCAAUUACGUGAAAAAACAAGAUCUUUAGGUACUACCAACAGCUUAACGGCACACAGCACGCAAUAAUAUACUGAUCUCUAAAACUUCCUACUUUUUCCACGCAAUAAUUUACUGAUCUCUAAAACUUCCUACUUUUUCCUUCACAUAAUUUAGCAAACAAAAACAUGAUUUUCAAGACCAGAUUUAUAAACGAACCAAAACCCAAAUUUUGAAGUCGUAAAAAUCAACUAAUAAAUAAAUAAAAUAGACAAACGUGCCUGUUUCAAUUGUCCACGGCGCUUAGACAAUAGAACAAUCUGUUCAUUUAAAGUUUUCCAUGCGCGAGCUUCGAAGCAAAGCUGAAGAAUGUCUAUAGCUGCUUUUCUAGUAGCAGCGACAUCGCCAGCUUGCCUCAUCUGCUUCUCUACAUUCAGAAGCACCUCAAUUUGCGCCUCCAAUUUCCCAUCACCUUCCUGUAAACAACAAAACAUUUCAACUGAAUAAAGAUCAAAAAUCGAGCACGAAUUAUACAAAUCGAAGGAAAAUCGAAGUUUACCAUAUUGAUUAUUGAGUUUUUUUCGGAGUUCGAUUGAGAUCGAUUCUCAGAAACCCUAAAAGAGAGAGAGAGAGUCUGAAGACUUGUAAAAUUUACUUUCGAGUGUUUUAUAUUAUUUUAUUUGUAGUUUUCUUGUAGGAGUAGUUAUGCUCUGACAAAAAAGAGGGUUAAUAUCUUUUUGAAAACAAAUUAAAUCUACAUAUUUAAAAUGAUAAUAUUAUUUGAAAAUUACUCAUUUAAGACAUACCAAUUUGAAUAUGAAAAUUAAAAUAUAAUUUUGAAGUUUUAGAAUUGUGAAAGUUAGAAAAAAAGUAGGAUUUAUUUUAAAGUUGAAAAUGAUAUUUGAAAUUAAGUUGUAUGUAUAUAUGAAUGAGGUAUGUUUUUUCUAUUUUUAUGAGUGAUUUUGGAGUGGAAACUCUGAGAAUAGUUUUUUUGUAGUUUUUGAAAUUGAAUUUUGAAUUUUAUAAUAAUUUUAUGAAUUGAUAUUUUUUUGAUCUGUAGUUUUUCGAUCUAUACUUCUAGGAGCGGCGGGGCUUGGUUGAUUGGAGUUCUUUAUCCUCAACCAAUUUGAUUUUGUCCGUCUUGAACUAUUGAUAUAACAUUUUGUUAUAAGUUGGUUGAACAAAGAUAGAUUGAAGGUCAGAUGGACUUGAGUUCAAGUGAUACAAUAUCUUCGAUCGAUCAUCGGGCCUAUUUUAUAUUUGUUGAAUUCAUUCUAUUGAAGUGUAACGUUAAAAGUUUAUUCUCAUCUUAUUUGAAGUGAUAGAUUCUUUAUCGCUGAAUUUUAUAACAAAGGAAAGCUUUAACCAUAAUACAUUUUCAUUUGAUUGAAACAAGUUUUGUGUUGCUCACCACUCCUCAAAGCCAAAGACGCAGUUGAACCGUAAUUUCAAGAUUGCAAUCUUAUACACAUUACGUCACCUAUACAAACUCACCACCUCACGAGCCUAAGUCAAACAAUUGUUUUUCCUUCUCCGCUCAUUCUUUUUCUACAUAUGUGGGCAUGUGGCGGGUGGAUUACCGGAGAAGGGGGACAAUUCUUUUUCCUUUGUCUGGUUUAAUUUUUCUUUUCAGAAUGAAAGUAGCAAACACUUGAUACAUAUGGGACGCAUGUUCAAAUCAAUACUUUAUGUAGAUUGAGAUGAAUUGGUCUUAGUUUAUCAUGUCUCUCCUUUGUACUAGUUAUGAAUUUUCUCAUGCUCCAAACAACUUCUAGGUUAACGUUGAUUACAAAGGUUUGUACCACUGAGCUUGCUCCCCUUUAUAAGUAAAAUUGAGCGUGGCUUUAAUCGGGUUUGCCUCCGCUUCUUCUGCACAUGAGGAACCAACUGAGUGAAAAGUCACGCCAACUUUAGGUGGUUGUUGAUGAAAUUUGACCAUAUUAUUUAUAUAAAAUACAAACAUGAUAUUUGCAUAUGGAGACAUAGUAAAUUGAAAUUACUUGCAACUAAAUGAAACUUCACUUGAAUAACCAUUUUUCUCUCAUUUCUCCAUUUUCUCUGCCAUGGUUAUCAAACAAUGCAUAACUAUUUGUUCAAAUGUUAGUUUUUAUAUCCUUAUAUGGAACAAACUCUAAUAACAAGAACAGAUGUAUGCAUUGUUUAAAUUCAAGAGUUAGAUACAAACUAAAGAAUUCAAAUAGUUGUAGUUCUUCCAAUAAAUAGUUAAAACCAGCAAACACUUGUGAACCGAUUAUCCAUCUCAUCUCUUCACGAUAGCAGGGAGAGCCCAGCUCGAGAAAGAGACAUUGAUGCAUAUUCAUGGCUAGCAACAAGUAUUGUGUUGCGUCUUAAACAUCAAUAAAUGAUUAGUUGAACCUCCUUUUGAGUGAUCUAAAUAAUGUCAGCAGGAGAAAUCGGAAUGCAUGGGGAAAAUGGUGAUGUUAAAUUUGAUUUUUUUUCACUUGUUCUGCUUAAAGUUAGUAUGCGUGUCUGGAGGAAAGCUGAGACUCCUUACCAAACCCAAAAUCAGCCUCAGAACGACCAAUUGGCGACCUGUCACUUCCUCUACCUCUAACAUCACCAAUUCCUCAGAGUUGCGGCGUUGGGAUAUCUUCAUAAUAUCAUCUCCAAUAUCAACAUCAUAUUCCACCUUAAUUUGUGUAUCCCCCAUCAGAGAUAUUUAUAUUUGUUUCUUGAAUGUUACUCUUAGGAGGCUUUGACGCCCCUUCUUGUACAUAGCUGCGAAAAUUGAUUUUUGAAGGUUCAAUCCUUGUGCAGAAUAGUUGAAGAAAAUCUUUUAUGCAUCCCCGGUUAUACACCCUGUUGUCUCCCUCAUAACGGAAGUUCUCAUAUGUGGUCUGCAGAAAUCAUUAGCAAUAAAACAAUUAAAAAAUGUAUAAUAAGAAGACAUCAAUCCCCUUUAUCCAACAAUAACUAAAAGUUGUAUAUCUAUCAACUAUUUUUUCUUAAUGUCCGAUAGGAUCACAGAAAACAUUCAUAUUGUUCCUCUUUCAAGCACUCCUUUUUUACUACUAAAAAGUUACUCCUUCAAAUGUUUUUUCAAUUCUUUUUCUUUAGGAAAUUAUGGAAGACAAGAAGAAUAAAGUUUAAAAUAGUAGAGAAUCUUAUGAAAUGAAACACAAAUGGAAAAAAGAGCAUAAGAUGAAACAAACUUUCGCAUUUGUUCUUUAUAGCUAAAUCAACGAGUCCAGCCCGUAGAGAGGCUCUUAUGAGGAAUAUAUAAACCAUUAUCAUGAACAAAGAAACAACACACUCACAGAUUGGCAAAGGGAAAAAACAUUAGAAAGAAAUAUAUAUUACACGAGGAAAUACAUGUUUUACAUUUUUUAAUUUAGAUGAUCUUAAGUCUUAACUAUAGAUCAUAUUCUUGAAAUAGAACAUUCCACUUCCUCUAAUAUAUUAUGAAUUAAAAAAAUCAUAUAAACAUUUGUCACAUUUUUUUCUGGAAAAACAACCCUUGAAAAAUAACGAACAAAAUGUAAAGAAGAAACGUCAAUAGAGAAUUCCCUCCAUGAUUACAAAUAGAGGCCAAAAGGGAGUCAUUAUAUUCUAUGUUUCUCCUAAUCAAUUGUAUUUAACUUUCUAAAUGCAUGGACAAGUGUCCCUGACAAGCCAUCAAUCACUUUGAAGGGAUGCAUACUUGUGUCCUCUAACACCAUGACAAUAAUGGAGUUGUCAUGUUGGAAUAAAAAAUAUUACUAUGAUUGAUAGUACUCAGAUGCAAUACAACAGAAAAGCUUUUAAAUUAUUAAUUGUAAGAGGUUUCAAACCAAACUAACCUGAUUUGUACCAAUGAGAUACAAAUGGAAGCCAGUAAGAACUCCAACAAACCACAGUGCAACAAAACAAUAAGUCAUCAAUGCUGCAGAUGUCGGUGAUUCUUUGAAAGCUUUCCAAAGAGUUCCAGAAUUAUCCAUGAGAAGUUUCAGAUACAAAGCCGAUAUGGAAAAGACGAAAACACAAAGGAGGGCUGUUGAAGAAACAAAUAGAAAGAAGCACCGAUAGUUCUGUUGUGCACCAACAAAGAAGAAGAGAAAAAAUUAAAGUGUCUCAAUAGGAUAUCUAAAGAGCAUUUUAAAUAGAAGAAGAGCUUCUCCUCCUAAAAUUGAUAUUAACUUUUUUCCAAUAUCAACAUUUUGGAGUCAGGAUACAGUUGGCACAUUUCAUCUUUAAAUGAAUCAAAUAAAUUAGGAAGCGUAAGAAAAGCAACAAAUAGAAAAUCAUCCAUGGAACUUAAAGAAAAAGAAAUAGUAAUGAAAAAAUGGAUGUACUUACCUUCCCAAUGCAUUGACCCACCCAAGGGCAAUGAUGAUCAAAUCGCUCCACACAAUUAUCACAUACCGAACAAUGAGAUCAUCUUGGUGGAUGGUACAACAUGCACGUUUCACAAUAUUUAACUCGUAUAGGCAAACCAUUCACAAGGACUUCAUUGAAGCGAGGCAGUCUACUGCUAGUUUCAACGCAAGCUGAGGAAUCAUACCCUCGAACUUCCUCUGGAGGAUGAUAAUAACAAUGUCAGGAUCCUUUGCUGAUGUUGAAAGUAGAAGUAUAAAGACCUAUGGCAACCAAUACCACAUUAGGAAAUUGAAAUAAUAAGAAACAACGGAAUAGAGCAUUAUGAUGACUAUAGGAUUCCAACUGGUGUAAACCACCUGGCCACCACAAAAGAAUAUAUGUGCGUCUUCAAGAAUAAGCGCUAACCUUAUGAGAAUAAAGAAGAACGCACAUUGGAAGUUAUGAAAGUUAAGCAAAAAAACAGGGGUAAAGGCAGUUGACAACAACGUAAGCAACAAGGUGAGUAAAGUGGGUAUCUUGACAGAAAUCAAGGCUCUACUUCUUUUUGGGAGGGAAAAAGGGGAAGACAAUCUCAUAGACAGAUUUCUGUUCAAAAAAAUUAAGAAGGAACACAUGGGAUUUUCCUGAAACAUACGCAAAGUCUGACGGAUCACUAACAGGCACUAAAAGGAAGAGUUAAUAAACUAACAUAAAUUGUGAAGACAAUAGUUAUCACCAAAAUUGCAUAUCCUGCACUUUCUCAUUAGAGUUCAACCACGGGAUUUCUUGCCACAAAUGCAUAAAAUAGAACAACAGGGACAAGGAUGAGCAUGAAAGUGAUUAUCAAUUACUUAGCAUCUGGUCCAAAUAUUAGCCUCCCACCAAGCAAGAAUUUCUGCACAUUACAUAAACCACAAAAAAAGAGUCAAGUACAAGGACAUAUGUCCAAGUGAAAAAUAACAUACUCAUACUCACAGUCGCAAAUUAAUAGAUAGAUUCUUGUUUUAGGAAACAAACAAUUGAUCACCAUAUGUAAGUUACUUUAUAGACAGCAAAAUUAAGAAGUUCCCUUGGGUGUUGAAGGUGAAUUGGAGCAUCACAGUCACUUCUCUUUUUCUUUUCUGACAAGAAAGGUUUUUUUAAGGAGAAACCAUAGUUUUAAAAUUUGAGGUAGUAAAUUUUAAGUGCACUCAUAUUUGAGAAGAUGAGAGCUUUUGCCUUCUAUAUUGUCACUAGGCACCAAAAGAUCCUUUUAAUGAUCAAAGAAGGCUAAGAUCCCCAGCUACAUUACAGUUUCCAAGGAGUUUGUAACAGUUUGCAAAGUCUUGUGAAAUAGAAAAAUUGUUUGAUUCAUUUCACCAUUUGGUGCCUUAACUGAAUCACAUUGUCGGUAUACCCUUGAACCUCCAAGACAUAUUAUAUAUUACCCCUUCUAAUUAAAAGAUGCAUCAACUUAUGGCCUACCUACAAAAAUGACUCUAACAUUAGGAACUUGCAAGUUUGAUCAACAAGUCUCUGGUAUUUGGUAUUACAUCUCAAUAUUCAAGCCACCGCUGCCUUUCAGUAGACUAACUCCUACAUAAACAAAAUUGUGAUCUAAAUUUUGCACUAAAUUUAAACUUAAAAUCUCAAACAUAAGUAAAAAUGUAUUCAGGUGCUCUUUGUCGGUACCAAUAUCACAAUUAUGCUCGCAUAUAUUGGACAUAGGAGGCAUCAAGUAGCAGCGUUCACAUUUCUAUCAGCUGACCCUAGUCUACUAAUAGGAACAACCACUUCCUAUGUUGAAUAAAAACUUCCAGAUUACACCAAAAAUUUCCAGGCAACUCAUUUUUCUGCAAAUACUGUGAUGCUCACAUUUACUGACUUUUCAUCAAUUUGAAUUGAAUUAUUUAUAGUUAAAUGAUAAAAAUAUUGACAAUCACAACAAUGUCAUGUACUUAUUACUAAGAUAAAUUAUGAUUUUAUCUAUAUCUACGGGAUAUGCUAUAUAUAUAUAUAUAUAUAUAUAUAUAUAUAUAUAUAUAUAUAUAUAUAUAUAUAUAUAAUACAGAGAAAAAAUUCAUAACAAUACAAUCUUUCCUUUGGGAAGAAAAGUACAGCCAUGAUCACAUAUUUUGCAAGUGUCAUUAAGAAUUUCUCUUUCAAUGAGAAAAGUACCCUGCUAAUAGUGAUAGUCAAAAGCAGUAUGUCCGAAGGAUAGCACGUGAACAGACACAUAUAAAAAGAAUACGGGCAUGAGAAAAAAAACAAUGUCUCCUUUAAGUGACCAUUCAUCUCUUUCCAGUCAGGCCAUUCUCGUCUCUUCCUGACAGUUUGAGAAAAAAAAUCCUCUGCAGUGUCCAUUAAUUUUUUUUAAUAAAUGGUACCCACUGCCUAUUCUUAUCUAACCCUGCAAUUGUUCCACCAGCACAUGCCAUGUUUGAUAUCACCAUCAGUAAGAUGACAAGUUUCCGUGAACAAUUUUAUAGUUAAUACUUAGUUAGCGCUAAGCUUCUGUACAAAAACAUGUUUUGGUUAAUGAAUAUUUAGUGUCAUGUUACCAUCCAGUAACACGUCUUCAGUCAAAGCUCAAUCAGCAGCAUGCAGUAGUCCUGCAACACAUUGUCAUUCAUCAACACACUUUUUUUUUUGGAUACGGUAAAGAUUUAUUAAUUAGGUAACAAGAAGGUACCAAAAUCAAAAGUUACAAAAAGACUGCUGGAGAUAUCCAUACAUCAAUUACAACAUCUCCUUAGCAGCUCCAAAAACUCCAUAUAUUGAUCUAUAUUAUCAAGGAGACUAAUUUUACACCAGCAAACAAAUUAUGUAAACACUUAAUUUAUCUCUAGAAAUAUGGUCUUUUAGCUUAUCAAAACAAGCUUUAUUUUUUUCUAUCCAGAAAGUCUAGAAUAUGCACAAAGGUAUAGUUCUCCAUAUUUGCUUCAAAGCUUUAUGUUCUCUUGUGCUGUCAACUCUCCAAUACUUUCUUCACACGCAGAGGCAUGAUCGAAGAGAUCUCGCAAAUACUGAAGAAAAAUUUCCAACAUUUUCUAGCUAUUCUACAAUAAAAAAGAAGGUGAUUCACAAUCUCCAACUCUUCUUCACAUAUAUAACAUUGAUUACUUAUUGCAAAACCCUUUUUCUGAAGAUUAAUCCUACCAAAACAAGCUAUCUUUAUAGGGCUUUAGUUCUCCAAAUCCCUUUCUAGGGCCAACUAGUAUCCCAAAAUCUUGUUUGCUUGAUUAGAAGGUUAUAACACUUUUUUACUGAAACGGUUACAUCAUUACUAGCUAUCCAUACUAGUGAAUCCCUUUUACUCUGAUCAAUGUGGGUAUAAUCCAGUUGAAGGAUCAAUAGACAAAAAUCAUCAAUUUCCCAAUCAUUCAUAUUCCUUGUAAAAUUCAUAUGACAUCCCGUGUUGGAAGAAAAUUCAACAAGAACUCUAUCUUUGUUAUUGCAACAACUGAAAAAAAAAGGAAAUUUUUGUUUCAAGCACUCAUCACCCAUCCAUAAGUCAGUCCAAAAUCUUAUUUUAACUCCAUUGCUAACCUCAAUUUGGUGAAUUGUUGAAACUUGGCCCAUAACUUACAAAUGUCUUUCCAUACUUCCCCUCUAGUGUAUGAAAUAUUUGAAGGGAGAUUCCAGCCUUGUCUGCUGCCAUAGAUUGCUUCAAUUAUUUUGAUCCAGACUGCCCCUUCGCUCCUGCUAAAUCUCCAAAGCCAUUAACACAACAUGCUUUUAUGCUUUUAUUCUGCAAUCUCAAGUUCCUAAUCCACAACCCACUCCCUUCCUUUGCACUAGUGACCACUUGCCAUCCAACUAAGCGAAACUUUUUGUUGCUACGAUUUCCUUCCCAUAAAAACUUAUUCGUCAUAGAGUUCAUCUUUCUUCCAAUUGCAUCAGCCAUAGCAAAUAAUGACAUUAGAUAGGAAUACAUACUAUCUAAACAAUGUCAGUUUAGAUAGCAUCACGUUAUUAAUCUGCCACACAUAGCCCAGUGCUCUCACCAUCGACAUUGACAUUCAGUAAUCCUUUACCAGUCAACACAGUUGGUGGCAUGUUGUUGUCCAACUAUACAUCACCGUCCAAUAAUAUGUUUCUACUCAGGAUAAAGUGAGCACCACAAUAUUGUCAGGGAUAUGGCAUUAUUUUGUUAUCAGAGUCACAAAUUAUUAGUAACUCAAGUCGCUUCACGAGUUAUAUUAAAAUAUAAGAUAAUUAAUGUCAUGGCAAUAAAUGCACCGCUAUUAAAGUCAAUAUCAGCGUUAUAGUAGUAAGUUGUGUAAUAAUUGUAUAAAUAUGCCAGUACCAAAAUUAACGCAUCUAAUGCACUUCAUUCAAUCCUUUAUCAAUGUAACAACCUGUUUAGUCAUUCGAGCAAUAGAAUCAUUGGUGAUAAAAACUGACUGGGUCGACGGAUCACGCGACGGACCGUCAUCUUCACGACGGACCGUGAUGGACUCCGUCGUUCCCAUACUUGUGUAAUUUCUUCUGCUGCUCUCCUCAUUACCCUCGACGGCAGGUAGGACGAACCGUCACAGGCACGACGGUCCGUUGAGCGUCUUCGUUCCAAAGCAUUUUAAUUAUGAAAUCUGAGUACUGGGGUCGACUCUCUAAACUUCGUGAAGGAACUGCAGGACGGACCAUCAGAGGUUGCGUAACCUCACUAUUGAAUUUAACUCUCUGAACUUUGUGACGGAACUGCAGGAAGGACCGUCACCGAUACGAUGGGCCGUCACAAGUUGUGUAACCCAAACUGGGUCAGAUUUCUGCUAAAAGUUUUAAAGGGGUGUUUUGGACUAUUCAUCAUUUUAAUUAUGGAAUUAGUGGGGUAAGUUUAAUAAAUUAUUUACUUGGGGGUUAAAGAAGAUAAUAAGGAAAUAAAUAGUGGGUUACUUUUAUCAUAACAGAUUAUAUGAUAAUUAGGGUAAAAGAAAAAGAAUCUGCAGAAGGAAAAUAAAAAGAACGGGAAGAGGGGAGAACGAGCGAGAGAGAGAGAACGAAGAGGAAAGCAAAGGCAUUGGGAAGUAUCUUGCUUGAUCACGAUUCUUCGGUGGAGGUAGGUUAUGAUUUGUUUCUAUGUGAUAGAUAAACUCUAAAUAGCGAUUGAUAUGUAUUGGGUGGUAUUGUAAAGUCUUUUAUAUGCUUGAUUGUGUGUUUGUAUGCUGUGAUUGUGUAAUUGUGGUGGUCAGAAUGAUGAGACUGUUGAAUUUUCAAUCUUAAAUCCUAUCUAUUAAGAUGACGUCUUGACAUAAAGAAGGCUUGAUGAACUAAAAUAAUGAGAUAAAUGGAUCAGAGUGUCACGUUCCGACACGGUAGCAUUAGGGGAUCGGAGUGUCACAUUCCGACACGGUAGCAUUAGGGGAUCGGAGUGUCACGUUCCGACAUGGUAGUAUUAGGGGAUCGGAGUGUCACGUUCCGACAUGGUAGCAUUAGGGGAUCGGAGUGUCAAGUUUCGACACGGUAGUAUUAGGGGAUCGGAGUGUCACGUUUUGACACGAUAAUGAUAAAGAGAAUGAAUCUUGAAUUAUGUUAAUAUACUUAAAUUCGAAGAACCUAUUUUCGAAAUGAGUAUGGUGUGGAGGCUUGAGUCCUCAUAGGUGAGCUUGGUGUUGUUGCCAAUGGUUUUGUUACUUGUUGAUUGUCACCUGUUAAGUAUUGUGGUUGAUUUUAUAUUAUUAUUCAGCAUAUAUUGUUUUCUAUUUUGAGUUGGCCGAUGAUACCUACUCAGUACGUGUUCCUUGUACUGACCCCUACUUGUGUUUUCUUCUUUGUUAUUUAUGGAGUGCAGCAAACGUGCCAUCGACUUCGACUCGUCCUCAGAUCUAGCCAGUCUUCAGCAUAUCAGAGUUCAGGGUGAGCUAUUAUUCCUAGCUCGUACUGGAUUCUCUCCUUCACGUCUUGAUGUCUUGAAGUUAGGACAUGGACCAUCUUUUUACUAUUUUUAGCUUCUUAAAUACUCUUAGAUUUAGAAAUUUAAGGAUAGAUGUUCUUGGUGUGAUGACUUCCAGAUUUUGGGAAUAAUAAGUAUUUAACUUUAGAAGUUGAUUUAAUUGAUUUCGUUAAUAAUUUUGGAUCUUCCGCAUUAUUUUUACUAUUCAUAAUUGAUAUACUGGUAAAUGUUGGGGUUUAGAUUUGUUGGUUCUCUCACCUAGGAAGAUAAGUGUGGGUGCCACUCGCGGCUCAUUUUGGGUCGUGACAAACUUGGUAUCAGAGCGUUAGGUUCAUUGGUCUCAUCACACAAGAACGAGUCUAGUAGAGUCUUGAAGAACGGUAGAGGGACACCCUUACUUUUCUUUGAAAGGCUAUAGGACUUUAGGAAAAUUCCAUUCUUUCCUUUUUUCGUGCUAUUACUUGGAUCCAAUUGGUAUCUAGGUGAUACAAAUUGGUAUCUGACAUCCUCACUCUAUUUUGCAGAUGGUUAGAACUAGAGAAACAACUGUGCCAACACCAACACCGGCAAGACAGGGUGUGUUUGAGCCAACCAUUGGGGCUGUAGCUCGAGGAGGAGAAGUGGCAAGAGGCCGUGGUAGAGGUCGCAGGAGGACGUCCUCUAGAGGUAGAGGACAAACACCUGGUCCAGCUAGCAAUAGGGCGGUGACUCCUCCACCAACUGAUGAGGUAGUAAGAGAGGUUGAGGAAGGGGAAAAUGAGCAGGUGCAAGAUGAGGAAUUACCACCCCAACCUACCCCAGAGAUGAUCAACCAGGUUCUUACUUAUCUUAGCGGGUUAUCUGAUCAGGGCCAGACACCUCCAGUGUUUCCUGUACCAGCACCUCAGGUUUCGGGAGUACAACAUGCAACUGCUGUGGCUCCCUGCAUGGAUGCCUCAUUGGAAGUAGGCACGUUUCCUCGAUUGACUACAGGGUCUAUAAUGACGGGUAAUCAGCAUGAACUUUUCACUAAAUUCUUGAAGUUGAAACCUCCAGUCUUCAAGGGUGCUGAAUCUUAGGAUGCCUAUGAUUUUCUAAUUGAUUGUCAUGAGCUGCUACAUAAGAUGGACAUAGUAGAACGAUUCAGUGUUGAGUUUGUGACAUAUCAGUUUCAGUGGAAUGCCAAAAUGUGGUGGCGGUCGUAUGUUGAGUGUCAACCAGCACAGGCACCACCUAUGACUUGGACAUCAUUCUCUAGCUUAUUUAUGGAAAAGUAUAUACCCCGGACUUUGAGGGAUAGGAGGAGAGAUGAGUUCUUAAGCCUAGAGCAAGGAAGGAUGUCUGUUGCUGCUUAUGAGGCCAAAUUUCGUGCGCUAUCCAGGUAUGCCACUUAGCUUUGCUUCAGUCCACAAGAGCAGAUUCGCCACUUUGUGAAAGGAUUGAGGUCAGAUUUGUAGGUCCCAGCCUUACAGGUAGCUGCUGCAGCAAAAUCCUUUCAGGAAGUGGUUGAUUUUGUGAUAGAGGUGGAGGGGGUGAAGCCAGACGACUUCACCAUGGCGUCGACAUCUAAGAAGUUCCGUAAGGAAGGUGAGUUUAGUGGUUCUUACUCCAGAGGGCAGAGUUCAAGAGGUUACCCAGGCCGACCUAUUCAGUCUUCACUGCAGACUGUAGCUGGGGGUCCAUCGCAGACCAGUCAAUAUUUCUCUGUGUUUGGAGGUUAUCCCCAGACUUCAUCAUUCUCACAAAGACCUAUGCUUGACUCCAGAGAUUGUUAUGUAUGUGGAGAGACUGCACAUAUUAGGAGAUAUUGUCCAAAACAGAGUUACAGAACCCCAAUAGUUAGAGGUAGAGGUGGUCAUGGGAGAGGCCUCCAUUCUGGAGGACGUGGUGGCCAAGGUAAUGGUGGUCACCAAAUCAGCCGGGGUGGCGGGCAAGUUGGAGCUACUGCAGCGCAACAUGGUAAGGGCAACAGGCAGACAGGUGACAGGGCCCAUUAUUAUGCUUUCCUCGGGAGGUCUGAAGCAGAGGCAUCUGAUGCUGUUAUCACAGGUAAUCUUUUGGUUUGUGAUUGCAUGGCUUCUGUAUUAUUUGAUCCUGGAUCCACAUUUUCAUAUGUAUCUUCCUCCUUUGCUACUGGUCUUGAUGUAUAUUGUGAUUUGCUUGACAUGCCUAUUCGUGUCUCUACUCCUGUGGGGGAGUCUGUGAUAGUUGAGAAGGUUUAUAGGUCUUGUCUUGUGACUUUUGUGGGGAGCAAUACUCAUGUAGAUUUGAUUAUUCUAGAAAUGGUUGAUUUUGAUGUGAUUCUGGGUUUGACUUGGCUUUCUCCAAAUUUUGCAAUCUUAGAUUGUAAUGCUAAAACUGUGACAUUGGCCAAGCCUACGACAGAUCCGCUAGUGUGGGAGGGCGACUACAUUUCCACUCAAGUUCAUAUCAUCUCUUUUCUUCGUGCUAAGAGAAUGGUUAGUAAGGGUUGUUUAGCUUUCUUGGCACAUUUCAGGGAUGAUACUUCCCAAGUACCUUCGAUUGAGUCUGUCUCGAUAGUCCGUGAGUUUCGGGAUGUGUUUCCUGCAGACCUUCCUGGUAUGCCACCAGAUAGGGAUAUUGAUUUUUGUAUUGAUCUAGAGCCGGGUACUCGCCCCAUUUCCAUACUCCCUUAUCGAAUGACCCCAGCUGAGUUAAGGGAGUUAAAGGCCCAACUUCAGGAGUUGUUAGGUAAAGGCUUUAUUAAACCAAGUGCAUCCCCUUGGGGUGCUCCUUUUUUAUUUGUGAAGAAGAAGUAUGGAAGUUUUCGGAUGUGGAUAGACUACAGGCAACUGAAUAAGGUAACUAUUAAGAACAAGUAUCGUCUUCCUUGCAUUGAUGAUUUGUUCGAUCAGUUACAAGGUGCUUGUACCUUUUCAAAAAUUGAUUUGAGAUCUGGUUAUCAUCAAUUGAAAAUACGGGCAGCAGAUGUGCUAAAGAUUGCUUUUGGAACCAGGUAUGGGCAUUAUGAAUUCUUAGUAAUGUCUUUUGGGCUUACGAAUGCCCCUGCUGCUUUCAUGAGCCUGAUGAACGAGAUUUUUAAGCCAUAUCUAGACCUCUUUGUUAUAGUAUUUAUUGAUGAUAUACUGAUAUACUCAAAGAGCAGGAAAGAACAUGAGGAGCAUUUGAGAAUUGUAUUGGAGUUGUUAAGAGAGAAAAGACUUUAUGCCAAAUUCUCCAAGUGUGAGUUUUGGCUCGAUCUAGUGUCCUUCUUGGGGCACGUGGUUUCUAAGGAUGGAGUGAUGGUGGAUCCAUCUAAGAUUGAAGUAGUGAAGAGUUGGGUAAGACCUACUAAUGUUACAGAGUUAAGGAGCUUUGUUGGUUUAGCUAGCUACUACCAUCGAUUUGUUAAGGGAUUUUCUUCUGUUGCUUCCCAAUUGACAAAUUUGACUAAGCAUAAUGUUCCAUUUGUAUGGUCGGACGAAUGUGAAGAAAGCUUCCAGAGCCUCAAGACCUUGUUGACUACUUCACCAAUUCUUAUAUGGCCAGUGGAAGGUAAGGAUUUCAUUGUUUACUGUGAUGCAUCUUAUUCUUGUUUGGGUGCAGUGCUAAUGCAAGAGAGGAAUGUAAUUUCUUAUGAUUCGAGGCAAUUAAAAGUGCAUGAACGUAACUAUCCGACCCAUGAUUUGGAGUUGGCUGCAGUUGUGUUUGCAUUAAAGCAAUGGAGACAUUAUCUAUAUGGUGUCAAGUGUGAAGUUUAUACAGAUCAUCGUAGUUUACAGUAUGUCUUUACUCAGAAAGAUUUGAAUUUGAGGCAGAGAAGGUGGAUGGAACUACUGAAGGACUAUGAUAUGACUAUUUUGUAUCACCCAGGAAAAGCUAAGUUGUGGCACAUGCUUUAAGUAGAAAGGCAAGAAGCAUGAGAAGUCUAGCCCACUUACAGGUUUCUAGAUGCCCAUUGGCUAGAGAGGUUCAGACUGUGGCUAAUGACUUUAUGAGGCUGGAAAUACAAGAGAAGGAAGGAUUUUUGGCUUGUGUGGAGGAAAGAUCUUCUUUUCUUGACAGGAUUAAGGGAAAACAGUUUACUGAUGAGAAACUGACCCGAAUUCAAGAUAUGGUAUUACGAGGAGAGGCUAAAGAGGCAAUAAUUGACGAGGAAGGCAUUUUGAGAAUUAAGGGAAGGGUAUGUGUGCCCCGUGUUGAUAAUUUGAUUCACACUAUUCUUACAGAGGCUCAUAGUUCAAGGUAUUCUAUACAUCCUGGUGCAACCAAGAUGUAUCGUGACCUAAAGCAACAUUUUUGGUGGAGUAGAAUGAAGCGUGACAUUGUUGAUUUUGUUGCCCAAUGCCCGAAUUGUCGGCAGGUAAAGUAUGAACACUAGAGGCCCGGAGGAACACUUCAGAAAAUGCCCAUUCCUGAAUGGAAAUGGGAAAGAAUUGCAAUGGAUUUUGUGGUUGGUCUUCCAAAGACAUUGAGUAAAUUUAAUUCUAUUUGGGUAAUCGUUGACAGAUUAACUAAGUCUGCUCACUUCAUUCCGGUCAAGGUGACUUACAAUGCAGAGAAGUUAGCCAAACUCUAUAUCUCAGAAAUUGUUCGGUUGCAUGGAGUUCCACUUUCCAUCAUAUCAGACAGAGGUACGCAAUUUACUUCUAAAUUUUGGAGAACAUUGCAUGCUGAAUUAGGUACUAGGUUGGAUCUUAGUACUGCAUUUCACCCUCAGACCGAUGGUCAAUUUGAGCGAACGAUUCAGGUGUUGGAGGAUAUGUUUUGUGCAUGUGUGAUAGAAUUUGGUGGUCAUUGGGAUAACUUCUUACCCUUAGCAGAGUUUUCAUACAAUAAUAGCUAUCACUCAAGUAUUGAUAUGGCCCCAUUUGAGGCACCGUAUGGGAGGAGAUGUAGGUCUCCCAUUGGUUGGUUUGAUGCAUUUGAGGUUAGACCUUGGUACUGAUCUUCUGAGGGAAUCAUUAGAUAAAGUAAAAUUCAUCCAGGAGAAGCUUCUAGCAGCUCAAAACAGGCAGAAAGAACAUGUAGAUCGAAAGGUUAGGACUUGGAUUUUAUGGAGGGUGAGCAAGUCUUGCUGAAGGUUUCACCCAUGAAAGGGGUGAUGCGGUUUGGUAAGCGAAGUAAGCUUAGUCCAAGGUAUAUUGGUCCAUUUGAAGUUCUGAAGCGCGUGGGGGAGGUGGCUUAUGAAUUGGCAUUGCCUCCAGGACUCUCAGGAGUGCACCCGGUAUUUCAUGUGUCUAUGCUGAAAAAAUACCAUAGGGAUGAAAACUACAUUAUUCGUUGGGAUUCAGUUCUUCUUGAUGAGAAUUUGUCUUAUGAGGAGGAGCCUGUUGCCAUUUUAGAUAGAGAAGUCCGCAAGUUGAGAUCAAAGGAGAUUGCAUCUAUCAAGGUUCAGUGGAAAAAUCGGCCAGUUGAAGAGUCCACUUGGGAGAAUGAGGCUGAUAUGCAAGAAAGAUAUCCACAUCUUUUUACAGGUUCAAGUACUCUUUCUCGCCCUUGCUUUUCUUCUUGUGAUCGUUCGAGGACGAACGAUUGGUAAAUUGGUAUCUAUUGUAACAACCUGUUUAGUCAUUCGAGCAGUAGAAUCAUUGGUGAUAAAAACUGACUGGGUCGACGGAUCACGCGAUGGACCGUCAUGGUCACGACAGACCGUGAUGGACUCCGUCAUUCCAUACUUGUGUAAUUUCUUCUGCUGCUCUCCUCAUUACCCUCGACGGCAGGUAGGAAGAACCGUCACAGGCACGACGGUCCAUCGAGCGUCUUCGUUCCAAAACACUUCAACUCUGAAAUCUGGGUACUGGGAUCGACUCUCUGAACUUCGUGACGGAACUGCAGGACGGACCGUCAUAGAUACGACAGACCGUCACAAGUUGCGUAACCUCACUAUUGAAUUUAACUCUUUGAACUUUGUGACGGAACUGCAGGACGGAUUGUCGCUGAUACGACGGGCCGUCACAAGUUGCGUAACCCCAACUGGGUCAAAUUUCUGCUAAAGGUUUUAAAGGGGUGUUUUGGACUAUUCAUGAUUAUAAUUAUGGAAUUAGUAGGGUAAGUUUGAUAAUUUAUUUAUUUGGGGGUUAAAGAAGAUAAUAAGGAAAUAAAUAGUGGGUUACUUUUAUCAUAACGGAUUAUAUGAUAAUUAGGGUAAAAGAAAAAGAAUCUGCAGAAGGAAAAUAAAAAGAACAGGAAGAGGGGAGAACGAGAGAGAGAGAGAACGAAGAGGAAAGAAAAGGCAUUGGGAAGUAGCUUGCUUGAUCACGAUUCUUCGGUGGAGGUAGGUUAUGAUUUGUUUCUAUGUGAUAGAUAAACUCUCAAUAGCGAUCGAUAUGUAUUGGGUGGUAUUGUAAAGUCUUCUAUAUGCUUGAUUGUGUGUUUGUAUGUUGUGAUUGUGUAAUUGUGGUGGUCAGAAUGAUGAGACUGUUGAAUCUUCAAUCUUAAAUCCUCUCUAUUAAGAUGACGCCUUGACAUAAAGAAGGCUUGAUGAACUAAAAUAAUGAGAUAAAUGGAUCAGAGUGUCACAUUCCGACACGGUAGCAUUAGGGGAUCGGAGUGUCACGUUCCGACACGGUAGCAUUGGGGGAUCAGAGUGUCACGUUCCGACACGAUAGUAUUAGGGGAUCGGAGUGUCACGUUCCAACACGGUAGCAUUAGGGGAUCGGAGUGUCAAGUUUCGACACAGUAGUAUUAGGGGAUCGGAGUGUCACGUUCUGACACGAUAAUGAUAAAGAGAAUGAAUCUUGAAUUAUGUUAAUAUACUCAAAUUCGAAGAACCUAUUUCCGAAAUGAGUAUGGUGUGGAGGCUUGAGUCCUCAUAGGUGAGCUUGGUGUUGUUGCCAAUGGUUUUGUUACUUGUUGAUUGUCACCUGUUAAGUAUUGUGGUUGAUUUUAUAUUAUUAUUCAGCAUAUAUUGUUUUCUAUUUUGAGUUGGCCGAUGAUACCUACUCAGUACGUGUUCCUUGUACUGACCCCUACUUGUGUUUUCUUCUUUGUUAUUUGUGGAGUGCAGCAAACGUGCCAUCGACUUCGACUCGUCUUCAGAUCUAGCCAGUCUUCAGCAUAUCAGAGUUCAGGGUGAGCUAUUAUUCCUAGCUCGUACUGGAUUCUCUCUUUCACGUCUUGAAGUUAGGACAUGGACCAUCUUUUAACUAUUUUUAGCUUAUUAAAUACUCUUAGAUUUAGAAAUUUGAGGAUAGAUGUUCUUGGUGUGAUGACUUCCAGAUUUUGGGAAUAAUAAGUAUUUAACUUUAGAAGUUGAUUUAAUUGAUUUCGUUAAUAAUUUUGGAUCUUCCGCAUUAUUUUUACUAUUCAUAAUUGAUAUACUGGUAAAUAUUGGGGUUUAGAUUUGUUGGUUCGCUCACCUAGGAGGAUAAGUGUGGGUGCCACUCGCGGCUCGUUUUGGGUCGUAACAAUCAAGCUCAUAUAUAUUUCUACAUUUUCUACAAUCUCCCGAAGGUAUGUAAUCACUCUUCCUAGUUGUCGAGUGCUUCCUAACUUUUAACACCUAUAUCAGGAGGCUCUUGUAUCUUAUUUGCAUCAAGAGAUAAACAUUUUUUUUGGAUAAGCAGUGUAAUUGAUGUAAGAAGGAGAAAUCCACAUAUUCAAUUCGUUUACCAAAAACAUCAAGUUAAUAAGGAUGAUAUUUGUUCUUUCCUAAUUUCCACUUUACCUUAGGUUUUCACAACUAGAAGUGUCAAAUCUUGCAAAAAUCCUUAUAAUUUUAGGCCUCAAAUGACCAUCCUACUAAAAGUAUCAAAAUUUAGAUCAAAGAGUAUGCCCCGCGUCACACUAGAUAUAGUAUAUUGAGACCAUAACUAUCGUUUUGAUACUAAGUUGUCCGGACUCUUCAUUUUUGCUAUAGCACCCUGUCGACAUGACAUGGGUGUGAAAUUCAUACCCAAUCGGGCCAACCGAUUUUAGGUACUUUGACCGAAAUCGAAGGAGAAAUUCCGGAUAGGUUCAAUGAUUUUUGUAAUCAAAACAAAAGGUGAGGUGAAAUUAAAGAAAAUGGAAUAAUAUAGAAAUUUCUUAAGACACUUCCUUUCCUUUUAUCUCCUUCCAAGAUUCUACUCUUAUUAAUAUUUUCUCUCAAAGUUUUCUACAUAACAUCUCAUAAUUUAAGUUUUCUAGAUCUUUUUCCAACUGAAUACCUGCACCCAUAUAUAAACCCUAAAUCUGUAUCCCCAAAUCUUAAAAUUUAGCUCAUGAAGAACCCGACCUCUAGAUUCAUAUCCGUAUCGAAUAUCCGCAACUUAGAAUUGAGGAGCAAAGCUCUUGAAUGAUGAAAUUACAAGUUCCCAUUUGUAAUCAUGAAGGAUUACUAGGAAUACAUCAUCAUAGGCUUAGCUCAAGUGGCAACUGUUGAGGGACUUGUGAUUACGUCACAUGUUCAACCCUUACAUCAUGCAAAUUAAGCCUAAUAUUAAAGUGAAAAGGGUAGAAGAACAGACCCAUAUUUCCAAGUUUUAAAGGUUGUUGUUGGUCCUAAGGGUUGGCCCCAACGAAAUUCUUGAUCAAAAAUUUUUCAUCAAUGCCGAGACUAUUGAACUAACUACAAUCAACGAAAUAACAAAAACUAACAAACUAAUUAAACUAAUGAACUAACUACAACUAAGGAACUAACUAAAACUAACGAACAAUUACUCCUUCCUCUAAUGUUGAAUAGUUCAUUUGACCAUAAGAAACCAUCUAAUACUACUAAAUAUCAACCAUGCAUAUCAGCUACCUCCCACCAAAACAAAUAUCAGGUAUUCCAUCCAUCAAGACUCAAACGAAUAGAAAGAAGUGACAUACUAUUUUCAUCCUUUGCUUAGAUUUGAACGUGAGACUUCAUAAUUCUCAUCCCACCUCAUUAACCACUAUUCCACAAAAUUUUAAUUCUUCACAGCUAUUUAAAGAAUUUGAAAUCAAGAAUUUGAAAUAGCCAUCCACAGAAAGUAACAAACCAGAAACACAACACAAAGAAUCCCACAAACACAACACAAUUCCAACACCCCCAACCCCAAAAGACCAAAGCUUUCAUUUUUUUUCUGAUCAACACAAGCUAACUCUUAAAAUAGUAAACCUCACAUCAAAUUUCAGCAAAGUAACACCAACCCAUCAAUCGUUAUUACAAUAUAACCAUGCCCAAUUAUCAAUAAACUUCAAAACAAAACAUAACCUCAACAAAAAAAAUCAAAAAAGAAACUCAAGAAAGCAAAGUUAUUUUUAUACAAGUAUAUAAACUAGUAAGAGGUACUUAUAUUAUUGGCUUUCCAAGACUAGUACACACGCUUAGGUUGUUUAGCCAUGAAAGAUUGAUUCUUUGUCACUUUGCUAAAGCAACAAGAAGAAGAAACAAGUAAAAAUUAUUUACUGUCAUUAAAUUUUUUAAUCCUUUUUUGGCUUUUUUUUCAACUUUUAAAUGACGCUUAUGUGGUUCAAAUGCGGUGGAUUUAAUGAUGGUUUGUUAGCUUUUUCUUUUUUUAUUCUAUAGUUUUUUCCAUUGAUGUAAUAAUUUUUUUUUUCUCUUUUUCUUUUUACUUUCCGUUUUAAUCAAUUAGGACAUUUCUCUUUUUACCUUUGACCAGAGAAAUUCAUUUGUUGUAAAAAAAAUACUAAUUUAAAACAAAUAAAAGAUUAUGUCACUGUAAGAUCUCUAUAAAUUAAUACUUAAUAAAUUAAUAAUCUCACUAAAUUAUUCUUUUUCUCCGAUUCCGACUUCGGUCAAUGAAAAGAAUCACCAAUUUCGAUAAGAUAAUAUAUGAUCCCAUUAAUAUCAUAAAUUAAUAAUUCUUUUAAAAGUAUAAAUAUAUCUAAAAAAAAUUUAGUGAUAUAUGAUUCUUUGUGAAUUUUUUCUUAAAAUUUAAAUUUAAUUGAAGUUCAUCUCUAAUUUUUCUUAUUGCAUCCAAGAGCUCUAAUGUGUUGUUCUUUCAAACUGCACCAUAAAAUUAUAAAGAGUUCUAGAUGCGAUAAGUGUUUCCUUAUGCAUAACUAGUUCUAAAGAUAUUGUAUCAUCUUCAACUUCAUCGUCGACAUAUUUUUCUUGAUGGUAUCCACAAUUUCUUCUAAACUUUGGACCUCUGAACAUGUAUCACUUUCACCCAAAUAAUCCAACAGGUUACUGACAUCCAUUUUAUUAUGGUAAUCAAGAUCAUUAAUCAUGACCUCAAGUUCAUGAAUGACGUUUUUACAACUGAGUCCAUUCAAAUUCUCUGAGAUUGUAUCCCUGGAAUGAAUUUUUAUAGUGUUGAAAAUAAUUUGCUAUUGUUUCUUGUCUGAAAAUUUGUUGUCCAAGCAGAGUGUCACAUUCCGACACGGUAGCAUUAGGGGAUCGGAGUGUCACGUUCCGACACGGUAGCAUUGGGGGAUCAGAGUGUCACGUUCCGACACGAUAGUAUUAGGGGAUCGGGGUGUCACGUUCCGACACGUAGAAUUAGGGGAUCGGAGUGUCACGUUCCGACACGUAGAAUUAGGGGAUCGGAGUGUCACGUUCUGACACAUAGCAUUAAGGGAUCGGGUGUCACGUUCCGACACGUAGCAUUAAGGGAUCGGGUGUCACAUUCCGACACGUAGAAUUAGGGGAUUGGAGUGUCACGUUCCGACACGAUAAUAAUGAAGAGAAGUAAUUUUGAAUCAUGUUAAUAUACUCAAUUCGAAGAACCUUUUUCCCCAAAUGAGUAUGGUGUGGAGGUUUGAGUCCUCAAGGGUAUGCUUGGUGAUGUUUCCAAUGGUUAUUGUACUUGUUGAUUGUCACCUUUUAAGUAUUAUGGUUGAUUUCAUAUUAUUAUUCAAUAUAUAUUGCUUUCUAUUCUGAGUUGGCCGAUGAUACCUACUCAGUACUUGUUCCUUGUACUGACUCCUACUUGUAUUUUCUUCUUUGUUAUUUUGUGGAGUGCAGUAGGUGCGCCAUCGACUUCGACUCGCCCUCAACUUUAGCCAGUCUCCAGCAUAUCAGAAUUCAGGGUGAGCUAUGGUUCCUAGCUCGUGCUGGAUUCUCUCAUUCGCGUCUUGAUGUCUUGAAGUCGGACAUGGACCAUCCUUUUACUUAUUUUAUCUUCUUAAUACUCUUAGAUUUAGAAAUUUGAGGAUAGAUGUUCUUGAUGUGAUGACUUCCAGAUUUUGGGAAUAAUAAGUAUUGAGUUUUAGGAGUUAUUUAAUUGAUUUUCGUUAAUGAGUUUUGAGUCUUCCGCAUUAUAUUUUGUUCAUUAUGGUUGAAAUAUUGGUAAAUGUUGGGGUUCAGAUUUGUUGGUUCGCUCACAUAGGAGAAUAAGUGUGGGUGCCACUCGCGGCUCGUUUUGGGUCGUGACAUCACCAAUUGGAUGGCAUAGCACUUGCUAACAAAUGGGGCAUGUAACCACUGUUUGCGAGUGUUUGGAAAUUGUUGUAAUUAGAAGAACUUGACAUUUAACAUUCUCAAAAGUAAAAUUAGGUGAUUGGACAAAGCGCACAAUCUUGUGCUUUUGCUUCUCAAGCUCAGUAGAAGGGUGAAGCAAAUCAGUGUCAUUUGAAAUCUUUGGAAUAUCCAUAUUGUCUUGAAGUUUUUUUACGAUAACAGAUGUUGCAAGUUGCUCCAAGAAAAAAAAUCCUAAGCUCUUUUUCUUCUUUUUUAUGAUGCAAACUAUUUAUGUAUAAAUUAGUAACUAACAUUGUAUCAUGAAUAAUAUCACGACUUAUGUAUCAAGAAAUCAAAAAUACUAAUUCACAAUACAAAACAACUAAUUCAAUAUAUUUUUAUCAGAUCUUUGUAUCUUGAAAUUGAAGUUGUGCUUUACUUUAUAUUUUGCUAUUACAAAGAUAAGCUGCUUUACGAGUACCUUUUUACUCAACUUCAACACGUACAAAUUCUAUCGGAUGUAGCAUCAAAAUAAUGUAUCUCUCCACCCAUCAUUUCUAUUGUUACAAUGGCAGAUUUAAGAUUCAAUUCAGUUGUAAUGGUGGAUCUGAGACUUACAAAAGAAAUCGUUUGUCCAACAACUAUUCAAUCACUAUUAUAUCAUUCAUAAUUCAGAUCACACACCCAAAAUCUGAAAAAUCUAAAAAGAAAUCGAUAACCUGAUCAUGUAGAAGUAAUCAUGGAUCGUCUAUUUUUGAUAUGUUAUGAUUUUUGGAAUAGAUGGAGGAGAAGAAAAUUUGAAUUUUGAAUUCUCUAAAUCUGUUAGGGAUUGGAAUAGAUUGAUAUCAAUUUCUUUUCCGCGAUUUGUAUACUGAUAAUUAAUUUUACAUUUAGGUUACUUUUUAAGCGCAACAAGUUAUUUAAGGUAUCAGAUGCUAUGUAUUUGGUUGAGUAUAAUGUAUCCGGAUGCUACAAUUUCUAAGGGAGUUUUGUAAAAUAGAAAGAGUAGGGAUAGAUGUAAUUUAGAUUUUACACUAAAUUAUGUAAGUUAUACAUGAUAAAAUAACACAUAGUAAGUAUUUUUUUUUAAAAAAAAGAGAGAGGGUUGUUAGUUGCAAGGUUAUAAGUGAGCAAAAAGGAGUGUAAUUCUAGGCAAAAAAAAAGAGUAAAGGGGUAUUUUUAAAUCAAAAGAUAGACGAAGAGUGUUUUUAGACCUUUUCUUGUAGUUCAGUGAUAUUUUUGACCCUUUUUCGUGUCAUAUAUGUAAUUUUUUUUAUGUGAAAUGAAUAAAAUAUGAUACAUAAAUUAGUAUAAUAUAAUUAAAAUUAACCUUCAUUAAAUCUCAAAUUAUUCUUUAAGUUAAUAAAUAUUAAUUUAUUGAUUAAAUAAUAUUUUUAUAAAAUAAUAAAAUUUUAUGGUCCCUCCUAUAUAAAUUUAUAGAGGUUUUACUAUAAAAGGUUAAUGUCUAGUGUAAUGCUUUGUUAACUAUAACAUUAGUUAUUAAUAUGAUAUACUGAGUUACAUGACUAUUAUUUUAUAUUAAAUCAUAUAUAUUAAAAAAAAUUCCUUUAAAAUAACUUGUGCAUAAGGCCUUUGAUUAUUCAUUAUCAUUUAAAUCCAUUGUCAAUAAGAUAUCUACUAUUCAAUUCUUUAAUUUUUUUAUACCAAUAGCAAUAAAUUUAUUAAGUUUCUUUGAUUGUCUAAAUUCUUUGACAAUGAAUGAGAUUUUCCUUUAAAAUACUGCACAUAUAGUUCAUUUUUGUUUUAAAAGUAUUCCUCGUUUGAUUUUUACUUGUCCACUUUUAACUUUUAUUUGUUUCAUAAAAGUAAUAAUUCAUGAAAGUAUUUUACUACAUUAUAUCCAUAUUAAAAUAGUAUUUAGUCUUUGCUUACGUUGGAACAUACUAUAUGAAGUAAUAUUUUCAAUAAUCUUUAUACAAUUUAAUAUUAUACUAUAAAAUUACAAAUACUAUAAGUUUAAAACAUCAAAACUAAUUCAUACAUAUUUGGUAAAAAGAAUAUUUAUCCUUUUGAAUUUUGCAACCAAAACAAAUAAAAAAGAACGCAUACUCAUCUUGUAAAGAUUAUUGGUAGUUGUUGACUAAUAGCUUUUUAUAAAAUUAUAUGUAAGUUAUAAUCACAAAUACUUAUUUUCAAAAAAAUACACAAAUAUAUAAUAAUUAUUUUUUUAAUCAUAAAGGAUGGGCAGAGCCCAUUUGAAUUAAAAAGAAGGGAAAGAAACGAGGGAUUACAAACAUGAUACAACUAAAUUGGUACAUCGAGCUAUGGGUGUAUUUCAUAUCAGACGUUAACAAGUCUCACUAACAUCAUGAAUUCAUCCCAAUGAAGACUCCUUCAACUCAAUGAAACAAGGGAUUCCAAAUUCUAAAUUUUGUUGAAACUCAGUCUUUUCCUUCUACCUCUCACCAAAAUGUGAAAGAAUAUUGUAUUUUUUUCCCUUCUAGAAACCACAAAAUUUCAGCUUUUUGUCGCCAAUACUCUUCCUUAAAAUGCAUAUAUUUUUUCAAUUAUGCAUGAGCCUGAUGUAGAAUUCUUCUAUUAUCUUCAGUGGGGGUAGCUUCAAAUAAUUGCUCCUUCACCCUUACAAUUUCUUCCCUGAUAAAUAAUUGCUUGAAAAUAUAUCUAAAACAACUUUACUCCAGUUAGACAAGGUUGUUUUGGUAUUUUUCAACUUUUGUUUCAAAUUGAUAAACACAUCAAUCUCUUCUGAAACCCAACUGUUUUUCACUACCUGAUGGAAUUUGGAUCUUUCAGACCAAAAUUUAAGGAACCUGAAAGUUCUUGUAGGAGAAUUAGACUUUUGUCCACAAGAGAGUAACAUGGGAGCAUGAUCAGACACUGUUGUUGCCAAAUGUUCUAAUUCUACCAUCACGAAAUAUCCCAAACAAUCUUGAUUUAUCAAGUAUCUAUCAAGCCUUUUGAAGAUAGAUUGAUUAUGAAUCCUCCCAUUCCACCAUGUAAAAGGGCUCCCUCUAUAAUUGACAUCCACAAGAUCACAAGAAAUUAUACAAAAUGCAAAAUACUCAUACUCAUUAGGAUAUACAUGCGAACCACCAACUUUCUCCUCUUCACUCCGAAUGACAUUAAAAUCACCCUCAAUCAAACAAAGGACAUUCUAAUAAGUAUUACUAAUAUACAUGUCAUUCAAUAAUUGUGCCCUUUCCUCGGCAUCACAUUGACAUGAACUAUAGACACAAUCAAAGGAGAAUUAUUUUCUUGGAAAAGUAACCUAAGAGUCAACACAUUAUCAGAAUCAGACAUCACCUCCACUUGAAUACGAUCUUAAAUGAAUACCAAAAUUUUUCCAUUGCAGUUAUAAUUAGCAUGCUUCAUGCCCAAUCUCCUUUUGAACCUUUGUAUAUUAUUAACAUUUUGAAAAGGCUCCAUCAAACUAUGCUAGAAAAUUUGUGAAAUCUGUGUAAGAUUUGAAUUCUAUUGAAUGAAUUUUGAGAUCUAAUAGACCCAAUCCUGGUCCCCUUUUGAGGAUUAGAUCUUUUAGGAAGCACUUCCCCUUUAUUUUUGCCUUUAGGAGUUCGUGUUAAUGAUGGAGAAAUGCCUGCAUCUUUAUAACUUAGAUGCUCAAUUUGCAAAACUUCUUUAUGUUCUAUAUCUUCAUUUGCAUCUCUGUUAAAUAUUUCUUGAUCCUCCGCAGCCCCUAGGUGAGACACCAUCUCAUGUAAGGUUUGAACUGGUUGUGAUUUAACACAAGCCACUUUCAACUCCUAAUUUUUGUGUUCCUUCUCCCUAUGCACAGAUACAGACUCCUGCAUAUGAGGUGGAAACCCCCCUCUUUUGACUCCAAAUUUGUGAAGGAAUUUGAAAAGUAGCACUUUCGAGACUAUCUUCCAAAAGCUUAGUGAAGAUAUGCUGCUGAGCUAAACCAUCAAUAUUGUUAUACUAUUAAUUUUACAAUAUUAAUUAAUAGCAAUGAAAAUUAUAUAAAAUAUUACGUUACAAAAGGUAUAAAUUACCUAUCCGUUCCAAAUUACCUAUCUGAGAGGUCGCAUACAAGCCUACAUAUGUCAUACUUACUUUAUCUAGGUUAAUUUUAGCGGAAAAUUUAAACUUUUUGUUUUCUUAUUUCAUGCAAAACAUAUUAUACUUAACAUCAUAGGCAUUCACAAAUCAACCAUCUAAUAUAGAGAUAAUCAAAUGAAAGAAGCAAUUCAUAAUUGCGUUAAAUGUAUUCUUGCCAAAACGACACCAAUACAAAGUCCGAAAUGAAAUGGGAAUUGAAACACUAGUGAAAUAUGCUCCACUAGAUAAAGCCUACAUCUAAGCUAGAUAAUAAUGGUAGACAUCCUCGAAAGCAUGAGGGCCUACCAAGUCCGGAUGUAAGUUCCAUAUCCGGAUAGCUACAACAUCGUAUCGUAAGCUCUAACGUCCACUUGUGCCUACACCUAAAAGUAGAUAUUGUAUGGGAUUAGUACACACUUGUACUAAGUAUGGGUAUAUGCAAGCACACACCAAGGACAUGCAUGAGUAAGAAUUGCUUUUAUUAAACAACAUGAUUCAUGAAAAGUCAAGUCAGUAGAUUUUCCAAAUUUGGAUUAGGAAAGAUAGUGAACCUGGCAAAUUUGGAUUAGGAAAGUCAUGCCAUGAGAGUAACACGCAUCAUCAUACGUAUCGUAUUGCGCACAACACUUAACAUCUUACACAUAUCACAUAACAUAUUGCAUAUAACACAUAACAUCUUUCAUAUCAUUCGUUCAUAUGCCAUGAAACUUUGGAAUCAUGGACUAGAGAUCAAGACUUCCCAAAAAUGAGGGCUCAACAUAUGAGACCUCAACUACGGAACCUUCUUUAGCAAACACAGAGUCUGCUUCAUUCAUUCAUACGUACUUCACUUCAUAUAUUCAUAAGCUAGUGUAGACACCAGCUAUACCUAAGAUGUAGUUUAAGACUUUCAUCGGGUUUGAUGUGCAAUGAUCAAGAAUGACCUAGUGUCAUUACUUAAGUCUAUCUCACCUCUUGAUUAUUCUAUCCUAACACCUUUGGUAUCAUUCAUUUCUUUAUGUGCAUCAUUAGAGGCUGACCUCAUUCAUUCUUUGGGAACUUUAACUUUAAUCGAUAUAGAUCAUGUGAGCAUCAUGAAAUUCAGUGUCUGCCCCACACCAAAAAGAGGUGGAAUCACCGGCUAAAGUGACCCAGAACAUGCUAGCAUAUAUAGGGGAUUGAACCCUGCUAGAUUCCUAUAUUUUGGCAGUAUAGGUUCAAAGACUAGGAGAUAUAAGGAUACCCAUACCCAGCAUUUCGGACAGUCCCAUCUCAUGAGAGUUACGUGAACCUCCGCCCUUCCUGAAAAAGGCAUCACCGCUCAUAGCUAGCCUAUCGGUGCUCAGUAUAAAGUUCCAUUACAUUCAACUCAUACAUCAUGGAAGCUGACUUCUAGCAUGAGGACAUCAUAACUCAUUAGGUGAUUUCUCAUAUCAUCAUUAGUAUUUUGUAUGCAUUAACUUCAAUACUUUCAUUAGAGUGUUCAUAGAGAUUGGUCUCUUUAUUAACUUUACACUCUCAUAGGUGAGUACGUUUUGGUAACAUUUACUUAGGCUCAUUUGAGAUUGUUCUCAUAUUUUACAUUAGCCACAUAUCAUGUUGUCACCACAUUCAUUAACAUUUGCACAAUUGUUCUUCAUAAUUACUCACCCCAUUUUUACAUGAAUGUUCAUUUCCUCAUAUGCCAAUGCACUUGGCCAUUUGUGUGUUUCACACUCUUACUUUCCCCUUCUAGGGUUUCAUCAUUUCAUUACAUAAUAAUUAUUUCAUCAUAUGUCAAUGGACUUGUCUCGAUUCGAUCUAAGUAGGUGACAUUAUUCUUGAACAUUUAAUUCACGUAUGACUUAUGUAUCAACACAAAAAUUUGGUCAAGGAAACCCAAGUUCGAAUCUCUUGGAUAACACUUACAUUUUUCCUUGAUUUUAUUUUUAGUCCUCAUGACAUUGAGACCCUAGAUCGAGCCCCAACAUCAACAUUUCUUUUUAGUUCCUUUUCUUCAGAAACUCUCUCCCUUGGCCGAGGGGUUGUGGGUUCGAACCUCUACAACCCCCUUUUAUUUUUCUAUUUAUAUUCCUUGUCUAUAUCGCAUUAACUAGGAGGUUGUGAGAUCAAACCCCCACAACCUCUCUUUAUUUUUCUUUUAUUCAUUUAGGACUGAGAGGUUGUGGGUCGAACCCCCACAACCUCCUUAUUUUAAUUUCAUUUAAAUGUUGACUAUCUCUGCGUUGGCAGUGAGGUUGUGGGAUCGAGCCCCCACUGCCUCACUUUAUUUUCUUUCUUAUUUUCCCUUUCUCUUUUACUAUCCUUCAUAACCUUGAGGUUGUGGGUUCGAUUCCCACGCCUCACAUUACCUUUCUUUUAUUUUUUUCCUUUACUUCACUCGCUGCCUGGAGGUCGUGGGUUUGAUUCCCACGCCUCCCAUUUUAUUUUAUUACUAUUUGUACUCUUUUCAGCCAGCAUACCCCAUAUCGAUUUCACCUGACCCCAUUUCUUUUCUUGCGAUUUCAAGCCAUUACACGGGUGAGGUCACAGGUUCAAAUCCUGGUGGCCUCAUCCCUUUAUACUCAACUAAAUUUCAUAGUUAUUCCUCUACAUUUAGCCUAAACUAAACUUGUAAGUUUGCUGGAAAUUUAGUCAUUUUUUUAGCUUAUUUUCACCAACAUUUCACUUGAAAUCUUAGGGAAUUCAUAGAUCAUCUAACACUUUUUGGGGUGUAUUUUUAUAGAUUCGUUUAGCCAAAAUAUUUAUACUCAAAUCAGCCACACUUCCAUUUUAAUGAACAUCACGAUUUACAUAGGUUUAUGCACGUAAAAUGAUAACCAAAACAUUAUCAAAUUGAAGCCUUAAUCCGAGAACCUCAUUCAUUGUAACAUAUUUGCACACGCACACACUUGCACAUAAUUUCGAAUACGUGGUUGUCUUUCAUACGAUUUGAAGUACACAACAUAAUCAUAUCACGAAAACAUAACAUAUACCUAAAUCUACUAGCAAUCAUACUAAACUUACGAUUCAUUGGGAGCUAGUGACAGGGGCAUGCAAAAGGGGAAACAAUUCUAAUUUGCGGAUGAAUAAUAUGAACCUUAAGGGGUCUCUUGGGAAAGGGACCAAGAGAGAAGAAAACCCAUACCUUUUUGACGUUAAACUCGUGACUUGCUGCCCAAAAACUUCACCCAAGAACACGUCUAAGCCUCCUCAAUAUCAACUCCACUCGAAUGACAACCUCCCUUAGCCUAGUGUGUGAUUAACAUUUGCUUUCUUGUGAUUUCGUGAGUUCUUCAAGUGUGAAGAACUUGGUUUAUUUUUUUCUGCUUUUGUAUCUUAUUUUGGCAGGGAAAAUACGUGAGAAAGAAUAAGAGAGAUUGAGUGUGAGAGUGAGAGUGGAAAGAUAAACGUGAGAGAGUGGGAGUUGUAGGAGGCUUAGGGGUCUAGUUUUAGAACUUAGUCAAUUUUUAAUAAAAAUCUGAUUUCCAUUUUAUUUUAAAUCAGCUAAUGAAUAAGAAUUAUUAAUUAAUUACAUUAAUUCAAUAGCUUAAAUAAAAAUCAUUUAAACUCAUUGCUUCCACCUAGGUUCGAACCCGGGUGGAGCAAGACUUCACUUCAUGAGCCUAUUUUCGGGCCCCUCUCCCGAAAUUGCCCUUCCACCUUAUUAAUUAGAUAAUUAAUUACAUAUUUAGAGUAAUUACGAAACUACCCUUCAUCAGGAAAAAGACCAUUUUACCCCUAGACCCUUCAACCUAAGAUUUCCUCUUUUUAAGUCCCGUAAAGAUUCCUUCGAGUAAAUCUUCGUAUUCGAGAGCCCUAAAUGGUUGGACCUAACCUUUUCAAGUUCAACUAACUCCCUAAGUUAGUUGUCUUGGCUGUAGCAAGGGUUCCGAGGUCUGGUUCUACGCGCAUCAGUCCGUGUGAACUCUGGUCUAUUCAUAGGCAUUCUUGACACAUUAAACAUUUCUUAUCUUAUCCAUUUUUAGGGUUGUUACAAUAAGAAAUAGACAAGACCUCAUAUGCGUUGUGACAAGGAUUUACUCCUAACUUGAAAUUUCUGAAAGUGUGGGGUGUUUGGCUAAGGUUGGUCUACCUGAUUUUAAACGAGUAAAUGUUUGAUCUAAGACUUUUGAUAUAGUCUUUAUUGGUUAUGCUCAAAAUAGUGUUGCAUAUAGGUUUAUGUCUCUAAGUGACCAUUCUAUUUGUGAAUCUAGAGAUGUAGAAUUUUUUGAGCAUAUUUUUCCUUUAAAAAAUAAUGUGCCGAGUGAUGUGAAAAAUAAUGCUUCUACAUUUAUGUCUAUUAUUUCUCGUGUUGUACCUUAAUCUAGAGUUAAUUAUAAUGAAUGUGAAAAAGAACUUAGAAGGAGUAAGAGACAUAGAAUCGAGACAAGUUUUAAUCCUAAUUUUAUCACUACUUUCUUAACUGAAAAUUUUGAUAUUAAUGUUGUAAUGAUGAAUUAGUGUCUAUCUAUUUAAUAGAAGAAGAUCCUAAGACUUUUAAUGAAGCAAUGAGAUAAAUAGAUGUUAUAUUUUGGAAAGAGACUAUUAAAAGUGAAUUAGACUCUAUAGUUUGUAAUCACACUUGGGACUUGUAUGAUUUACCUAAAGGUUGUAAGACAAGAAGUAGCAAGUGGAUAUUUAAGAAGAAAUUGAGACCUGAUGGCACAAUUGAUAAAUAUGAGGCUAGACUUGUGAUUAGGGCUUUUAACCAAAAGAAAGGUGUUGAUUACUUUGAUACUUAUUCUCUUGUGACUAAAAUAGCAACCAUUAGAACUCUUAUUGCUUUGGACUCUAUUCGUGACUUAGUGGUACAUCAAACGGAUGUCAAAACAACAUUUCUAAAUGGUGAUUUAGAGGAUGAGAUCUAUAUGACUCAACCCGAGGAUUUUGUGGUUUCAGGACAAGAGAAUAAAGUAUGCAUACUGAGAAAGUCCUUGUAUGGACUAAAACAAGCACCUAAGCAAUGGUAUGAAAAAUUUAAUAACACAUUAGUGGAUAAUGACUUUGUUGUAAAUUCAUCUGAUACAUGUAUUUAUUCUAAGAUGAUAGGUUCAUAUUGUGUCAUUAUAUAUUUAUAUGUAGAUGACAUGUUAAUCUUUGAUCCUAAUGUGAAUGUUAUUAAUGAGAUCAAGAACUUUUUAUCAUCUACAUUUGAGAUGAAAGACCUUCGUGAAGCAGAGGUGAUUUUGAAAGUUAAAAUCAAAACAACUGUUAAUGGUUUCUCUUUGUGUCAGUCUCAUUACAUUAAAUUACAAUAAAAAGAUGUUGAAAAAGUUACAUUUUUUUGAUGUAGUUACGGUGAGAACUCCUUAUGAUCCUCUCAUACACUUCAAAAAGAAUAAAGAAUCUAGUAUUUCUCAAACUGAAUAUGCUAAAAUAAUUUGGAGUGUUAUGUUUCUCAAACUGAAUAUGCUAAAAUAAUUUGGAGUGUUAUGUUUCUCAAACUGAUAUAGUUUAUGUUGUUGGUAGAUUGAGUAGAUAUACGCAUAAUCCCAAUAGUGAGCAUUGAAAUACUCUUCAUCGAUUGCUAAGGUAUUUGAGAGGUACUAUGAAUUGGUGUUUGCAUUUUAAAAAAUUUCUUGUUGUUUUAGAAAGAUUUUGUGAUGCAAAUUGGGUAAUUGACAAUGAUGAAGUUAGCUCCACCAGUGGCUAUGUGUUUACUUUUGGUGCAGGUGUUAUUUCGUGAAAGUCUUCCAAAUAGACUUGUAUAGCACGUUCUACCAUAAAAUCUGAAUUCAUUGCUCUCGAGUUGGCAGGGUAAGAAACUGAGUGGUUGAGAAAUCUUUUGGCGGAUAUGUCAUUGUGGGAAAGACAAGCAUCACUAGUCUCUCUUCACUGUCACUCACAAGCAGCAAUUGGAAUUGUCAAAAAUAGUGUGUACAAUGAAAAAAAGAGACAUUCGCAUCAGACAUGGUGCAGUUAAACAGUUGUUAAAACUGGGUGUUAUUUUCUUGGAAUAUGUAAGGUUCGAAAGAAAUUUGGAGGAUCUUAUGACCAAGGGCUUGACAAGGAAAAUAAUCCUUGAAACGUCGAGGGGGGUGAGACUAAAGCCCAUUGAUUUAGGUAAUGUGGUGGACUUGUUAGGCCUCAAUAUACACCACAUUUUAUAUCUUUAUGACGUGAGACACUGUUUUAUAAAGUUGAACUUAUUUUGCUUUUAAUGAUUCUAUAGUCGUAAGUGGUCUAUUUGAGAUAGACUUGAUGGAGUCACCUGCGUGAGUGUAAAGGUGUGGUCGCCUGUUAUGAAAGAAUUAAUCGCCUUUUUAGAACACUCAUAAGACCUAAGGUAUGUGCAUGACCAUAAAAGCACUUUGUUCGUACACAGAGGUUGCUUAAAAUUUAAGGAUAUAGUAUUUGUUAUGGGGGUCUCAAUUAUAUACAUUCAGUUCAAGAGUACUCCACUUUGGAUAUUGAGUUGUUGCUCCAUUUCACUAUGUGUUAAUUCAAAUCUAAAGAUAUUGACACUUAAGUACAUGCUUCUUCUUCCUUUUGCCCAAAAUGUGUUCUUACUCUUUAUCUUUAUGUUAGUGGGGGAUUAUAAUAUCAAUUUUACAACAUUAAUUAAGAGUAAUGCAAAGUAUAUAGAAUAUUACAUUACAAAAGGAAUAAAUUAGUUAUCCAUUCCAAAUUAUAUUUUUAUUAAAGUGUGACGUAAUGACUUUUAAUGUCAUUAAGAUUUCACAUACGUUUCUUAAGAAUUUAUUUCUAUUUGCAGCUCCUAUAUAAAUAUGUAUUUUGAAUGAGCAUAAAACACCACUACCAACAAAAAAAAAGUAACAUUUUCUUCUUAUCUUAUUCUUAAAAUAAAUAUUGGGUAAUUGAUUGUGGGCUACCUCCAAACUUUCAACCACGAGUGCACAUGUUUGAGAACACUUGUGGCAGUGACUUACACGACACAAUAUUUGUGCUAAAUUAUUUACUAAUUUUAUAAUUUCAUUCUAAUAUCAAUAUUAUAAUAUUUUUCUCCUUCUACCUUUACCAUCUCCAGAUUCACCUCUUUGUUGACCCCUUUAUCCAUCAUCAUAUUAUCUACCAUUUGAAUUGAAAUUCCCUUGUCAAUAUGAUUUGUACUCACACUUUGUCACCACCUUCAAUGGCUUCCACUUCACUUGAUCAAAUGAAUUAUAGUUUUGGAGAGUCCCCUCACUGUCCUUAUCACUCAUUAGAUUUCCAGCUUUCUUUAUAAAAUUUCUAUCAGUGGGCAUCUAUUUGCUCCUUUAUAAAAAGUUGUAUAUAUGUUGGGAUAAAGUCUUGGUAGUUAAUGGUGGAAAAUUAAUGGAUGAACAAGGAUCCAGUCCAGCCAUCGCCGCAAGGUUAUAUAAUUAUGAACUCUUUUUUUUUUUAUGUUAAAUGAGUUUUGCGUGUAAUUAAUAUAAUGUAUACUAAAUUAUAAUUUAAAUUUUAGUGUUACCAUAUAAAUAGACAUUUUGUAAAGAACUUGUUAUAAACUAUACCACUAUUUAUUUGCAUUAGUGGUAUUGAAACUCGUACAUGAAGAGAUCUAUCAUUCUUGUUUGUGCUAUUUAAGCUACAAUUUUAAUAAUUUUAUAUUUAUAUUUACUUAUUUUACCCAAUUAUUUCAAUAAAGAACAUCAGUACCUCAAAUAUUCUACUCUACUCGUUCACUAUCAAUUGUUGACAAACAUUUUACAAACAACUUUUUUUUAUCGUUUUGAUAUGCAAAAGAAAUCACAAUUCAAAUAAUUUUUAUGUAUCUAUAUUUUUUUAAAAAAAAAUCAAAUUAAUCUAAUUGAACUUUGAAAACUAUUCAAAUUAACUUAAAAUUUUUUUGUAAUACGACAAGUAAAAAUAGACACACAAGGAGAACAUUAAAACUAAAAGCUAGAAUUUUAUUACUUGUAAAAUAAAAUUUACUUAUUUUGCUAAAAUAUUCUACAUGCAGCUCCCUUACUAUUCCAAGUCUCCGAAAACAUAUUUAUUUUUUAUAUAUAAUAUAUAUCAUGCUUCAUGAGUAUUAAAAUAUACAGACUUCAAUUAGUUAAAUGCAAACACAAAUUUUUAUUUUUUUUGAAAAAAAUAUUUAUGAGCUAUAUAACAGUCGCAUGUAAACAGCAAAAUAAAUUGACUUAAAUUUUUGUUUUGUCUAAGAAUACGUUCAAGUUUGGUCUAGAAAAAUACAAAUUUCAAUUGAUAUAUGAAGAAAAAAGAAGUACCUAUCAUCACAGAAUACAAACACAAAUUCUGAAGUCAAAAAUAUUGUAUUAUGUUAGAUUAAGGUUAUUAUAAUAAUAUGUAAACAACAAAACAAAUUUACUUUAUAUUUUUGGUCUAGAAAAACUAUAAAAUACAGUUUGGUUAUAUUUGUGAGUGCAAAGGGCUCAUAUCAAGUGUACUUUAUAGAAGGUUCAUUGUGAAGAAAACUCAUGUUCAAAAGAAUAGAACAAAGAUGCACAAUAUAGAGUUAAUAAUAAAGCCACCAACAGCUAUUUAGGGGGCAACUAUAUCACAAACCCUAUGUUAUGCAAAUUUAUCUACCAAAUCUCAUUCAAAAAUGAGAAAUUCUUCACUCUAUCCUCUCUCUUUAUAAUCAUAGCCCAA
rnacentral:lncRNA from 1 species